rnacentral:lncRNA from 1 species
AUGGUAGUAAUGUUGGGUUGCCCUUUUCUUUUAUUGACGAAUUCGGACUUAAGACAAAAACCAUAUAGUGGGCCAAAGGCAAGUAAUAUAAUGUCUGCAAGCAAAUUUUAAAACAUAGAUUUAAUCAUCUCAUUAUCAAUAUAUUUUUACAAAGUGGGAAGUACACAUUGCGAAUAGAAGAUCGAACAUGUUGUAGUCAUUCAUAGAUUAUUCUAGUGUGGCCUCAAGCAGCAUUUGGGUUGUGAUAAAGUGAUACAGAGCUAUUGCGAUUAAUGCACAUAAUUUUGUGGUGGUUUGGCACCGGUGUAUGAGAUAAUUGAAUAUUUAGGUUUUGGGUGUCGAGGAUACAUGUGCAAUAGUAUGAUGUCCAAAAAAUGGUUGCAUAUUUUGCUAAGAUCUUUCUCUGUCUUGUGUAUUCAUUUUGCUGAGUAUUUAUUUACUGGUGGGCCGUGUUGAACUCCCAUUGCUUGGUGUGGACACAUUCAUGUGUUGAAAUCGGGAUUAUCUGAUUGCUUCAACUAUAUGAUAAAUAUGAUUGUUACUGAUAAUGGUAAAGUAUGUGUGAUCUAUUCUAUGACCGGCACACAAAAAUUAUGUUUAUGGUGACCGAAAGGAUUAUGUGCAUGAUUUUUUGAUUAUUUAGUUCAUUUUGGAAGUAAUUUGUUUGUCUAUUUGUGUAAGUAAAUAUACUUUAGUUGUAUAUGGUCUUUUUUAUUACAUUUUGGUACGUUGUAAUACAUUGUGCCUCUUUAUACAUGUGAGAUAGAGAAAAUUGUGAAUUACAACAACUAUACAACUUAUUCAUUGGACGAUUGAGCAUGUGUCUAGGGGUACAUGUAUUUAUUUGAACUCAUCUUUUUUUGCUUAUAAUCUAAAUGCUACUCCCUCCGUUCCAUAAUGUAAGACGUUUUUGUAAAUUAUGUUACCUUGCAAAAGUGUCUUAUAUUAUGGGACAAAGUAGUAUUAGGUAAGUAGUCAAAAAACGAUUGGAAAGUAAACAAUUAGCACAAGCAUGUGGUCACAUCUUGUGACACGGUCGCUUACCCCCUGCAUGAUAUACCUGAUAAAACAGGAACUCCCUAAAAAAAGAUAAAACAGGAACUACCACCCGAUAGAACGUGUUGUUGACCCGGAAUCCAAAUCACAAUGAAAAUGCAACACACACACACACACACACACACACACACACCACACGCGUACACAGCCCGUCCCCCCACAUCUGAAGUGUCCUCCAUUGAUUAAGCAGUCGAAGAAUGUAAAAAAUCUCUAGAAACAAGAAAAACACGUCUUAUUUGUGCAUUAUGUUGAAUACUUCUAUGUGGUGAGAAGAAAAUCUAUGUGUUGGUUUUGUUGAAUUUUUUAUAUGGGCAGACACCAAAUUAUUGUUUUUCAUUUCAUUCAAAGUAGAAAUGGUACAUCUAUAUAUCCAUUGAUUUAUGUUUUUUUAACUUCUCGUAUUUUCGUGGGAGUUAAUCUAUACAAAAUGCUUACCGAUAAGCCAUUGUUGCCAUACUUACAAUUGGUUGAGAAUAAUAAAAAAAUGUCAUACCCCUAGAUAAAUCUAUAUAUGCUAUGUUUAAUUGUUGACCAUGAAGUAGAAACUCAAUUGCAUUUUUUGGGGGGAAACAAAAAUGCAAUUACCUUUUUUUUGCAGGAAACAGAAAUUCAAUUGCCUUGAACAUAGCAAAUUAAGAGGGAACAAAUAAUCAAUGCAAACAGUAAUUUAACAAACCAUUAUGGAUUUCCCUGGCAUCAUGCUCUCGUCCUUUGGAAGUUCAACAUCUCCACUUAAGUUACAACCUGUAAAUAAAAUAGAUCUAGUGGAAAUAAAAGAAAGAUCUGAUAUAAAAAUGAGGAGUGAAUUCAGUCAAACCAUUUUAUUUUGAAUUAGGCUAACCUGCAUCACUCAAUCAAACACUGUAAUAUGAAAUACUGCACUGAUCGAUUCCUCGUGCAAUUGAUGUCAAACAUGGACAAUCAAGCGCAUCCCUCUGGAUCGUCGCGUCUCUCCAGCACAUAUAUAAGUUGUACUCUCAAUCGAUCAAUGACAGAGAUUUCAUUUUUGAUCUCGAACACGUUAUCAGCCACGUUAGCUCUACCAAAGAGCAAAGGAGAGAGGAGGAAAAGAUUGAAACUUGCCGGUGAGAUGUCCGGCCUCAUUUCCUUCCUCCUCCACCCGAUCCACGAGGACGGUCGCUGGUGCCGUCCGCUUCGUCGCCGCCAUGGAGUUGGUGGCCUCCGUCGCUGCAUCCAGGCCAUCAGUCACUUCGGUCGCCGUGCCGCUGGAUGUGGCCUCUGUGGCGGUCACCGCGCCGCUAGACUGGAGCCUGUGGUGGCCACUGCUCGGCUGGACGCGCCCCAGCGGUGCUCACCACGCCCUUGGAUGUGGCCUCGGCCGCCGCUGCAUGUAGUGCACGCGGACCGCCAGUGAACGUGGGGCUUGACCCCUGGCUGGCUGGUGGCUGGCCCAAGCGCCCCAUGGUGCACGAGGCCGCCCUCGCGCCUCCGGCAGCCCCCUGGGCUUCGCCUCGACCCCCUCCUCCGUCGGUGGAGUGGCUCAUGCAGAUGCCCGCAACCAAGUUUGUCGAUUCAAGCCACAACCCGCCUUGUUUUUCCUCCUGUGCCGAUGCGCUCCGCGGUGAACGAGGAUGGAGCGCGCCCACGGCACCGCCUCUCCGCAGCCCAAGAUGGCCGUAGGCUUGAGCAGCCACGUGGAACGGCGCUUCGGGCGCCGUCGCCGCCCUCGACCGCCGCUCCGGCUCGUGGGCUCCGGCGCGCCUAUGAUUUGCCGCCGCCCCGCUGCAGGGAGAUCCUAGCGACCCCGUCGUCAUCGCCUCUUCGUCGGACGAGGCGAGCUCCUCCUUCCGCGCCAAGCUCAGGGACUUCCGCAAGCCGUCCUCCCCCAGCGCGCGGCUCGCAAGAUUCCUCAACACCAUUUUCGCCGUCCUUGCGGUCCUGCCUAAGCAAGAUGCAUCAUUGACGACGCACCAUACCGUGCGGUUCAUCGACAAUGACCGAGAGACGCCAGUAACGGUGCUGGGGCAGACCUAUGGACGGUGACGGCGCAGGAGGCGUCCUCCCGCUGGACUGGGGCUUGGGGACGAAACGCGGCAGCAACGACGGGAGCUUCGAGGUGUCCUCGAGUAGUGGCGCCAGGCCGUUCUGGGCAUGUAGAUGACUACGGUGGCCGACGUACGCUGCCGCUGGGAAGGAGAGAGCCUGUUCUUAUAUAUAGGCUUGUGCGGCGGUGGCGGUGUGCUUCGAUUUUGCUGGGGCCUUCCAGAGACGACGACCAGACACGCGGAGAGGAUCGAGAGGAUAGAUGCAAACAAACGAUCGCAGCGCAACGACAACAAAGAACAACAAAAGUCAGUCCGCACAUGCACGAAGCCACGCAGAAGGAUGCGCGUAGCCUGCCGCACGACAGAGCCCAUGCAAGCAGAUCAACAGGACAGCGGCGGCCUGCACGUCCCCUGCCUGCCCCACAUGCAAUCAAAAUUGCUAAACCAACCCAAAGAAACAUGACGCUAGUUUAAAAAAUUUGAAUCAAAACACCGAAUCCACAAGGCGUUUGUACACCGCCGUGUACCAAAAUAAUACCACGCGGCAAACCCAAAACUCACCAAGAGUCACUUUCAUCCAAGUGGCUGAAUCUCAAGGCAAAAACUUUGCCUGGAAUAGAGGAUUGGGUACUAGUUGCUAGACUAGAGUUAAAAGCAACUAUAUUAUACAAACUCAUGAAGACUCAAAAGCAUCGGUUGGUCACAUUCUGUCACUUUUUUUUCAAUAUAAAAGCUGUAGCAUCGGACUACUCCAAGUUUGUGUGGCGGGCCCUCAUCUGGGCCGGGCUUUGGCCCAGAACACCCGCGAGCUCGAGCACCACCAUCUCGAACAGCACAAACAUGGCCCCCUCGUACAGGCUCCCCAUCGGCAGCUUCGCCUGCGCCGCCGCGCCAUCCUCGUCGUCAGCCAUGGUCUGCGCGGGGAGGUGGGCCACCACGUCGGCCUGGCGCCCAGGGAAAUCUCCCUCCGGCCUCGCGGUGAGCAGCACCACGCGCGUGCCGGCGCCUCGCGCCACGCCGCAGAUGGCGUCGACGGUGGAGAACGCGCCCGGUCCCGCGGAGGCGACGAGGAGGUCUCCCGAUAAGGCGGGCGGCGCCGUGACGUCGCCGACGCAGUGCGCGGGGAGGCCGAGGUGCGCCAGGCGCAUGCAGAGGGCGCGCAUCAUGAGGCCCUCGCGCCCGACGCCGUGCACGAACACGCGGCCUCCCCGGGAGGACGCGGCGGCGAGCUCAGAGACUAGGACGGCGCGCGCCGGGGGGUGCGCGGAUGGCGCGGCGAAGACGGCCGCGAUCUGAGCGCAUAUGGCGGAGGCGUCGGCCGGCGCCGGGGAGGCGACAUCGCGGCCGCUCAUCGUACAAGACCACAAGUUUAUCUUAUCCGCAGCUCUCGUGGAGUGGUGGAGCACUGGACUCCUUUGGUCAACGGCCUCAGCCCUUAGGAUGCGGUUGAUGGGGCAUCAUCACAAACUUCGGCCGCGCUUGGCAUGGGGUAUUUUUAUACAGAAUACCUGUAUUUAUUUUACAGGUGUAUAAUACUAGUACCAUCCACACUUGGUUUUGAGCUGUAAAGGAAAACGACCGAUGAAUUGUGUAUUUUAAAAGAUAGUCCAGAAGCAAAUGCAGAUUGUGGUCUGCAUUAACGGUAUUUGAAAGAUGAUGAAAUGUGUGUUGGGUUUAUAGUUCAUGGAUGGCAGAUGGGCAGGGCUGGCCCUGGGCCAGGGCAGCAGGGGCGACGGCCUGGGGCCCCGACCCAGACCAUAUAUAUACGCUUGCUAAAGGCUUUGGUACAUCCGUACAAGCCCAAUACUGAUGGAAAACAAAAAUGGCCUGAGAGGCCCAUCCGUAAUAUCCAUUAGAUUAGAAGCCCAAUAAAAGCACACAUAGUUCAAUGCGUUCCAGAUUACGGAUCGGCUGUACAUGUGUGCAUGUGUUUGCGCCGAGCCGUGGCUGUUUUUUUUUUCUGAUGGAAGGACCUUUCCCGUGGCUAUUAGUUUGAUUGCUUCUUCAAUUCUUCAAACCCAAUCUACCAAUCUUCUUUUUUUGCGGGAUCAAUCUAGCAAUCUUCACUCGCUCAGGCUCGUGGCUUCGUUUCCCGUCACACAUGCCGUGCAACAUUAUUGCUGCUAAUUUACUCCAAAGUUGAGGUGUGGUCUUUUUUGUUUUUACAAACAUGUUCCCUAGGUUAGAAGGAGGCUAUGAAUAAAUUUAUUUUUUGAAGUACUGAUAAUCUAAAGCAAUUAGAUGUCAAAUACAACUUCCGUCCCAAAUUAUUUAUUUUAAAUUUGUCCACAUACGGAUGUAUCUAGACAAUUUGAAAUGAAGUACUAUUUAUAGCAGAAAAUUAUAUUAUAGUUUAUGACUUUGCAAGAAUUUUUCCAUAUCAUUUUUUAGUGGAAGAAUUUUCCCAUAUCAAAUUAUGGAAUUCCUAUUUUCUCCACCGCAGCCGUUGGGCCCAUUCUUGGAGUCUGCCCUGGGGCCCUUGAAACUCUAGGGCCGGCCCUGCAGAUGGGUUUUCUCCUCCGGCAUCUUAGUCGUGUGGGGACGACAGAUCUGGAGUUCGAUAGCGUGUCCGGAGUGUUGCUUCGUUCAACGGUAAUGGUUUGGCUUCUGGUGAGCUACCUUGGAGGUCCGCAAAGCUGCAUAUCAGCGAUAGAACCGCUUCAAGCUCGGUGUGAAGGUGAUCCGUCAUUUUUUUUCGGUGGCUGCUAUGGUGGUUCCAGAGGCCUGUGACGGGCGUUGGUGUCAAGUUCGGAGGUUUCUUCGGUCUUGACUGUAAUUUUACUUCUUGGAUGUUGUUCCUUUGUGCAAAGGCUGGCGUUUUGUUGUCUUUUCUGUUUUAGCAGGUCCGUUGGUACGUGGCUGGCUUGUAAUAUGAUCAUACAAAUGAGACACGUAUUGCCAUGAAAAAAAAACGACCGACGAAGAUUAUAUAUGUAAUUUUCAAAAUUGAGACACCUAUAUGUAAUUUUCAGAAAAGAAAAAUGUAUGCAUACCGAUCUUCAUGCAAUUGUUUGAAGCAAUCUCUCUCUAUAUCUAUAUUUAUACCUAAUAAUAAAAAGAGGUGUGUUUCUCUUGUUUUUUUGGUUCAUUCACCAUACUCUUUUUAAAAUAAAACUAUAAAACCAUUCGAGGUGGUACGAAUUAUUUAUCACGGCAGGGAGCUCCUAUAUGUCGUACCCCGCAUAGGGACGGCUCUUGACUGGGUCGGUCCAUUAAUCGCUAGAACAACGAAAAAUUCAAUGAAAAAAGUGAGCGCCCGUGUGGGAUCAAACCCUGUAAGGGCUCGUCGUUCACAAGAUGAGUUGAUGAGCUUCGAUAUUAACUAGAUGACCUGGUUGCGCCAAUGAUGCAAAAUGCGAGUUAGAAGCGAUGUUAGUAGUGAGUAAGUAGGAGAUGUAGAUGGAAGAUAAUGCAAUGUGGAUUGUAUUACAAAUAGUAGGAUGACUUAAAUUGAUUUUCAGACCAAAAGAAGAAUGUUUAGAAGAGGAGGUAAGCAAUUUUGGAUAUGAUGGCGGAUACAAUAAUAGUGUUGGAUUUCAGGAAGUAUUAAUUUCCCUUUUAGGUCUUCUGGGAUAUUGAUUUACGAUCAUAUAUAGGGCAAUGUAAAUGGGUUCCUUUGGUCACAGAAGCAGAAAGCUUUUCCCUAAAUAUAUAUAAAAAUUGCAUUAUAUAUAUAUAUAUAUAUAUAGGGUCGCGCUAUUCGUCAUCCUGGGUGAGGAAUAAUUAUUCUUCACCCUCCUCUAUUUUAUCAUCAAUGCACCGUAAUUUUACGUUCUGUAAGUUUUGUCUUAUUUCCGACGCAAAAAGAGACCUUAAAAAUAUAAUCGCCGUAAAAAAAUAUUUUAUGUUAUGUAAAAUUACAAACAUAAAAACAUAGUCUAAAAUACACAUAAACUGCAAAUGUUCUUGUCUUAUGACCUAUAUUUUUAUUUUCUUAUGUCAAAUUUUACGUAGUGAAUCAAUAGGAAUGUAACUAUUUGAAUUCGAAAUGUAAUUUAAUUAUCAAAUGAUCGUAAGAUUACCUCGGAUGAAGAAUAACUUAUUCUGCACCCUGGGUGAUGAAUUAUAUAUAUUACACGGAUCUAACAAAGCAUCAUGGAUUCCAAAUUUAUACAUACCAGAGAGUAGUGCCAAAAGCAAACAGUUCUUAGGGUGAAGCUACAUAGAGCUUCAUAGGCUAUUUAGGUAGUUUAGUAGACUAAACAUGAUGAACAGAGAGUCCAGUGCCAAAAGCAAACAUGUUCUUAGGGUGAAGCUAUACAUAAAGAACUUCAUAGGCUAAUUACGUAGUUUAGUAGAUUGAACACGAUGCUCAGAGGGCAUGCACGGUGAGACGCAAGCGCUUGUAGUUGCGCUUGAAGGCAAAGGCAUAUAUUUCUCGUUCCUUCAUAUUAGCUGUGGGGGAGAAGCCUGCCCAGCCUCUGGUAAUUGUUGCCCUGUUAUCGACUCCUUUGAAUAGAUGGGCUUUGAUGCAGUGAUUUCCAUCUCUAGAUUUUAUUGGCAAGUCAUACAACGGCGGAGAUAUUUCUGGGUAAAACUGACCGAGAAAUACUGCAAAUGAAAGGUAACAACACUGAGAAAAGAAAUAUUGGAAAUGAAAGGUAACAACACUGAGAAAAGAAACAUUGGAAAUGAAAGGUAACAACACUAAGAAGAAUUGUAUAUAUAAUUGCAGGUGAUGUGUAUAGGGUCUUGGCAUUCUUUGAGUGGCAAACGUGUGAGCCGCUUCAUGUAUAGCCUCACUUUGUUUCCCCAUCUGCAGUGACCAUUAAAGCUUAGAAAGUAGAUAGUGUCGGGUGCCCGUAUUCAAUGGUAUAUAAAAUGAUUGGUGUAAGCAUAUGCAUGUACUGGUAUUAGUAGAGCAAAUGAACACAUUGUUUGAUCGUACGGGUUCUGUAGGCCUUGUAUUCAGCCUUCUUCAGUUUUAUGUAUUUAGUUGUAGGUGUUGUAUGAUGAUAAUCAUGAAGAGGGUUUCAAAGAUUAGUAUGAAUAGGAAGGCAAAUAAAAUUAGGUAUAAUGGCAUGACAAUGGUAAUGGUAGACGAUUUGUACCAUGUGAUGUAUGCUCCUUUUUCUUUUUUUCUUGGCUUUCAUGCAACGAUGCGAAGGUCCUACAUAGCUAUAAACAGUAAGAGGUUUAAAGAUGAGUAUAAGCAGUAGGUUUUAAAAAGUAAAUCUGUCGUGGUGUGCUUACCAGCAUCAUACUGAUGUUGAUAACAGUUGGUUUGUAGGUUGCGUUGUUAGGCUGAGGAAGCGAUUCGGAAGACCCGCUAUCAUCACCACUGCAAGUAACAUUAUAGUUUUUCUGCAAGGAAAUGUCGCAGUUGUUAUUCUGGUUAACUACGGCCUUUCUUAAUGCUAUGUAAUAGUCCUUGACAUAAAGACAACUCAAAUCAAAAGAAAGCCGGGUAAAUACUUUCAAAGCAUCCAGAUGGUGUGCACAAGGACAUCAAUACAAAAAGUGAUAUAAAAUAUUAAGAAAUUGUAGGUUCAUUUAUGUUAUUCCAAGCCAAAAUGUCCCAGCCAAAGAGUAGUUGUACCAGCAGAAUAAACAUACCAGAUUUUUUCUGGAACAAAGCAGUAAAGCGCCCAUGGCCAGGAAGCCACAAGAACAAACGGUCGAACAUAGUAUCACUAUUCAUACAAUCGCUAUUGCUACAAUAGAAUGAGAAAAUAUUUCUUAAUAUUCUUUCUUUCAAUGAAAAAACAUGAUGUUUGCAAUAAGAUGAAACGAUGAUAAAUUAGUUGUAGCCCAAUUGAGCAUAGAGAUUCAUGCAUUAGAGGAUAGUGGGUUCAGAGAUAUUGUGUAGUUUCCAGACGAGCAGGCAGCCGACAACGUGUCCGGUUGUACCUCCUCGGUGAAUCCAGCAUUGGGCAGGUUGUCAAUGGACGCCCUUGGCAUAUGCUAUUGGUGGCCUCGACCUCAAAAAGUCCAGUGCAUUCACCUGUGUCUAGAGAGACACGACAUUGCCAGGCAAAUGCAACAUCGUGUAGGAACCAAAGGCAUGACAGGGAAAGUUCAGCAGACCUCAUGCUAUAACGUCAGCUAAGCAACUUUCUACUGAGGAACAAAACUACAAAGUGGUGUUGUAACAACCUGGGUUCUAGUACUGUGGUCGAAAUGAAUCAGCAAGGGUCCAAUCGAAAGCUAACAUUCUUUAUAAGUUCUGGUACUCACUACUAGAUUUUGCAAAUAGCCCUAGGGCCUGAUACCCUAAGCAAAUGGGCAAAAAUGCUAUGGAAAGGGGUUUCCCUAGUGUAUCCCCUAGGGAAAUCGCCCUAGGGAACCAUUGGUGGGGGAAUCUCGGUUUCCCUAGGGUGAGGAAAGAAUACCCUAGGUAUAGUUCUUUUUCCCUUGGGUUUUGUACCCUAGGGAAACAAGCGACAGCUAGCAUGCAUGCUGACCUGUAAAGUAGAUAUCCUUUGGGUUAGUUUCACUCCCUAGGGAAAUAUUAUGUAACGGUAGCUGCCGUUAGUCCAUUUUACAUCCCUUGGGUUUACAAACCCUAGGGAAUUAUUAUUUCAAAAUAUUGCAUUAUUAGAAAAAUUAAUAUUGUUCUGUAGAAAUUAAACUAUUACAAAUAAGUGUAUAUAAUCACUCCAAAAAUUAGAAAACAGUCACAUAAAUUAUGUAUUUCAACCAUCAUUAUACAUGGCAACAUCAAAGAGUUUACACAAUAGUACCACUCUUUACAAAAGAUGGCAUCUAGCUCAGUACCUAGAACUCACAAAAUGUCAUCUACCUAGGAUUGCCAAUUAGUAGCCUGGAAUAAUACAACAUGCAUCAUAUAUAUAAGUCACUGAUCCAAGACAUCACAACCAUAACCAAGUGCAUGGCCAAAAGGAUAAUUGUCCAUUUGCUUCCAAUUAAUCAACAAAAAAAGUUCAGACCACUUCCUUCCCAUGAUGAGAGAUAUCUCAAAAUGUAGGUAAAUCAUCACCAAGUGGGGGGAAAGUUCCAGCAACAACACCAUUCGCAUCAUUACCAUUUGCAUCGAAGAAGCCGCCAAACAUUCCAUCUUCCGCUCCAUGCAAUGCAUUAUCUAUAUUUUCAGCAUCAUUUGUUGAUUUGCCGGUGGAGGGCUGCACAAAUGUCAUUAUUAGUAUUCUGGGAAAAUUUUAAUCGUAUUUUCCUAACCAAUUAAAUAAAAUAAAAUGGAAAUACCAAUUCAACCCCUAUUUGGCAAAAAAAUAAACCAAAAUAACAAAUGCCCAGAAAAUUAUGAAAUUUUGACAGAAGGACAACCAUAUGAUGCCUAGUAUUCUGGGAAAUUCUCAAUCAUAUUUGCCAAACCCAUUAAGAAGUAAAAUUAAAAUACCAAUUCAGGCACUAUUUGGCCAAAAAUUUGAAACAAAGAACAAAGUGCAACCAUAUGUCGACCACUAUUCUGGGAAUUUUCACUCAGUGUUGCACAUUUGCUGAUAUACUCACAACAUAUUCCUUUUCUGUUCUCAUUUAGCCUAUUUGGUGCUAUUGCAUUUAAAAAAACAUAGGUACAUACCAUUUCCGGAGAAAAGAUCGGAGACGAAGUGGUUAAAGUUGGAAAAGCUGGAGGUGGGGGUAUAACAAUGCAUGGAAUCUCAGGCCCUGGAAUUCCUUGAAGGGAUGCGAUGGUCUGAAUUUUUUUAGACAAAUGAGAAAGUUAUGUCAAGUGGCUACAAUAGAAAGAAAAUGGCUUGAAGGCAUUUUAUGCCCCUUUGGCAACACGUCCCCAAGUAGGCCUAGGAUGCUGUUCACACAAUCUGCUGGUAAAUUAUGUUGUGAUUUUAUUCCCAUUAGACGUGUGACAGCAGCUAGGCGGGAGACUUGAGUGUGAUCAUGAAUAACCUCCUCUGCAGUAGACAACAUCUUGUAGAACUCCUUGGCAUAUGCUGUUGGCUCGCUCUCCACAUCAUCAAAAUGUGUUUCAGCCCCAACAAUGUCAGCCAACAUAUCAACUAGCGGUUCAUUACUAGUGUGAGUAUCCUCUUCCAUUCUGGUUGUACCAACUAUUGGACGCUCGCCGUGCGAUGUCCAUCUGGUGUAAUUUGGCAUGAAACCAUACUGACAAAGGUGCACUCUGACUAGUUGUUUCUUCCGCCUGACUCCAUUACGACACUUUGUGCAUGGGCACUUCACACCAAACCGGUCAGCAUUAGGCAUAAUCUAAAAAGCAUGGUCAAGAAAAGCUGUUGUGUUGCGCACCCACUCUUCAGAAUGGUGCCCCUGUUCAUUCCACCCACUGUACAUCCAACUACGUUGUUCUUCUACAGACAUGGUCCCACAGGGUGAAUAUCCCUUGGGUCUCGCACCUAACCCUAAGGAAACAAUACAAUCCCUUCGGUUCUCAGUUCGUACCCUAGCGAAAAUUUGUGUCCUUAGGGUGCCUUUUUUAACUCUAAGGAAUCAUUUCAGCCCUAGGGCUAUCUGCAGAUUCUAGUAGUGACUGACCACACAAAAAAACUGGAAAUUUUACUUAUGCGCAGUAUAGUGCCUGGCCAUCAGAAUUACCGAAACCAAACAUUAUGUAUAUUGAAAUAACUAAAUUUAGUUUUUCAUACAAUCCAUGAGAUUAUUCCAUUCUGAAACAAGUGAAAAUUUGCGGAACACCUCUUUUAGUGAAGAAGCACACUCAAAGUCACUAUCCAACCCUGAUUACAAAUAAAUAAAAUGAAAGGACAACUAACAAAAAUGUUUGCAACAAAAGUAUUCCGUUAACAUGGGUCAUUAGUAAAGUACCGGGGUUGUUGGGGAACGUAGUAAUUUCAAAAAAAUUCCUACGCACACGCAAGAUCAUGGUGAUGCAUAGCAACGAGAGGGAAGAGUGUUGUCUACGUACCCUCGUAGACUGGAAGCGGAAGCGUUAGCACAACGCGGUUGAUGUAGUCAUACGUUUUCACGGCCCGACCGAUCAAGCACCGAAACUACGGCACCUCCGAGUUCUAGCACACGUUCAGCUCGAUGACGAUCCCCGGACUCCGAUCCAGCAAAGUGUCGGGGAUGAGUUCCGUCAGCACGAUGGCGUGGUGACGAUCUUGAUGUUUUACCGUCGCAGGGCUUCGCCUAAGCAACGCUACAAUAUUAUCGAGGACUAUGGUGGAGGGGGGCACCGCACACAGCUAAGAGAUCAAUGAUCAACUGUUGUCUAUGGGGCCCCCUGCCCCCGUAUAUAAAGGAGUGGAGGAGGGGCCGGCCAAGGAGGGUGGCGUGCCCUAGGGGGGAGUCCAACUCCCACCGGGAGUAGGACUCCCCUUUUUCCUAUUAGGAGUAGGAGAGGGAAGGAAGAGGAAGGAGGGAGGAAGGAAAGGGGGGCCGGCCCCCUUCCCAAUUCGGAUUGGGCUUGGGGGGGGGCUCCCUUGCUCCUUUCCCCUCCUUUCCACUAAGGCCCAAUAAGGCCCAUAUACCUCCUGGGGGGUUCCGAUAACCUCCCGGUGAUCCAGUAUUGUCCUAAUCUCACCCGGAACCUUUCCGAUGUCCAAAUAUAGUCGUCCAAUAUAUCGAUCUUUAUGUGUCGACCAUUUUGAGACUCCUCGUCAAGUCCGUGAUCACAUCCGGGACUCCGAACAACCUUCGGUACAUCAAAAUAUAUAAACUCAUAAUGAAACUGUCAUCGUAACGUUAAGCGUGCGGACCCUACGGGUUCGAGAACAAUGUAGACAUGACCGAGACACGUCUCUGGUCAAUAACCAAUAGCGGAACCUGGAUGCUCAUAUUGGCUCCUACAUAUUCUAUGAAGAUCUUUAUCGGUCAGACCGCAUAACAACAUACGUUUGUUCCCUUUGUCAUCGGUAUGUUACUUGCCCGAGAUUCGAUCGUCGGUAUCUCAAUACCUAGUUCAAUCUCGUUACCGGCAAGUCUCUUUACUCAUUUUGUAAUACAUCAUCUUGCAACUAACUUAUUAGUUGCAUUGCUUGCAAGGCUUAAGUGAUGUGCAUUACCGAGAGGGCCCAGAGAUACCUCUCCGACAAUCAGAGUGACAAAUACUAAUCUCAAAAUACGCCAACCCAACAUGUACCUUUGGAGACACCUGUAGAGCACCUUUAUAACCACCCAGUUACGUUGUGACGUUUGGUAGCACACAAAGUGUUCCUCCGGUAAACGGGAGUUGCAUAAUCUCAUAGUCAUAGGAACAUGUAUAAGUCAUGAAGAAAGCAAUAGCAACAUACUAAACGAUCGGGUGCUAAGCUAAUGGAAUGGGUCAUGUCAAUCACAUCAUUCUCCUAAUGAUGUGAUCCCGUUAAUCAAAUGACAACUCAUGUCUAUGGUUAGGAAACAUAACCAUCUUCGAUUAACGAGCUAGUCAAGUAGAGGCAUACUAGUGACACUUUGUUUGUCUAUGUAUUCACACAAGUAUUAUGUUUCCGGUUAAUACAAUUCUAGCAUGAAUAAUAAACAUUUAUCAUGAUAUAAGGAAAUAAAUAAUAACUUUAUUAUUGCCUCUAGGGCAUAUUUCCUUCAGUCUCCCACUUACACUAGAGUCAAUAAUCUAGACUACACAGUAAUGAUUCUAACACCCAUGGAGCCUUGGUGCUGAUCAUGUUUUGCUUGUGGAAGAGGCUUAGUCAAUGGGUCUGCUACAUUCAGAUCCGUAUGUAUAUUGCAAAUCUCUAUGUCUCCCACCUGGACUAGAUCCCGGAUGGAAUUGAAGCGUCUCUUGAUGUGCUUGGUUCUCUUGUGAAAUCUAGAUUCCUUUGCCAAGGCAAAUGCACCAGUAUUGUCACAAAACAUUUUCAUUGGACCCGAUGCACUAGGUAUGACACCUAGAUCGGAUAUGAACUCCUUCAUCCAGACUCCUUCGUUUGCUGCUUUCGAAGCAGCUAUGUACUUCGCUUCACAUGUAGAUCCCGCCACAACGCUUUGUUUAGAACUGCACCAACUGACAGCUCCACCGUUUAAUGUAAAUACGUAUCCGGUUUGUGAUUUAGAAUCGUCCGGAUCAGUGUCAAAGCUUGCAUCAACGUAACUAUUUACGAUGAGCUCUUUGUCACCUCCAUAUACGAGAAACAUAUCCUUAGUCCUUUUUAGAUAUUUCAGGAUGUUCUUGACCGCUGUCUAGUGAUCCUCUCCUGGAUUACUUUGGUACCUCCCUGCUAGACUUAUAGCAAGGCACACAUCAGGUCUGGUACACAGCAUUGCAUACAUGAUAGAGCCUAUGGCUGAAGCAUAGGGAACAUCUUUCAUUUUCUCUCUAUCUUCUGCAGUGGUCGGGCAUUGAGUCUUACUCAACUUCACACCUUGUAACACAGGUAAGAAUCCUUUCUUUGCUUGAUCCAUUUUGAACUUCUUCAAAACUUUGUGAAGGUAUGUGCUUUGUGAAAGUCCAAUUAAGCGUCUUGAUCUAUCUCUAUAGAUCUUAAUGCCCAAUAUGUAAGCAGCUUCACCGAGGUCUUUCAUUGAAAAAACAUUUAUUCAAGUAUCCCUUUAUGCUAUCCAGAAAUUCUAUAUCAUUUCCGAUUAGCAAUAUGUCAUCCACAUAUAAUAUCAGAAAUGCUACGGAGCUCCCACUCACUUUCUUGUAAAUACAGGCUUCUCCAAAAGUCUGUAUAAAACCAAAUGAUUUGAUCACACUAUCAAAGUGUUUAUUCCAACUUCGAGAUGCUUGCACCAGUCCAUAAAUGGAUCGCUGGAUCUUGCACACUUUGUUAGCUCCCUUUGGAUCGACAAAACCUUCCGGCUGCAUCAUAUACAACUCUUCUUCCAGAAAUCCAUUCACGAAUGCAGUUUUGACAUCCAUCUGCCAAAUUUCAUAAUCAUAAAAUGUGGCAAUUGCUAACAUGAUUCGGACAGACUUAAGCAUCGCUACGGGUGAGAAGGUCUCAUCAUAGUCAAUCCCUUGAACUUGUCGAAAACCUUUUGCGACAAGUCGAGCUUUGUAGACAGUAACAUUACCGUCAGCGUCAGUCUUCUUCUUGAAGAUCCAUUUAUUCUCAAUUGCUAGCCGAUCAUUCGGCAAGUCAACCAAAGUCCACACUUUGUUCUCAUACAUGGAUUGAAGGAAAUAUGCCCUAGAGGCAAUAAUAAAGUUAUUAUUUAUUUCCUUAUAUCAUGAUAAAAGUUUAUUAUUCAUGCUAGAAUUGUAUUAACCGGAAACAUAAUACAUGUGUGAAUACAUAGACAAACAGAGUGUCACUAGUAUGCCUCUACUUGACUAGCUCGUUAAUCAAAGAUGGUUAUGUUUCCUAACCAUAGACAAAGAGUUGUUAUUUGAUUAACGGGAUCACAUCAUUAGUUGAAUGAUCUGAUUGACAUGACCCAUUUCAUUAGCUUAGCACCCGAUCGUUUAGUAUGUUGCUAUUGCUUUCUUCAUGACUUAUACAUGUUCCUAUGACUAUGAGAUUAUGCAACUCCCGUUUGCCAGAGGAACACUUUAUGUGCUACCAAACAUCACAACGUAACUGGGUGAUUAUAAAGGAGCUCUACAGGUGUCUCCAAAGGUACAUGUUGGGUUGGCGUAUUUCGAGAUUAGGAUUUGUCACUCCGAUUGUCGAAGAGGUAUCUCUGGGCCCUCUCGGUAAUGCACAUCACUUAAGCCUUGCAAGCAUUGCAACUAAUGAGUUAGUUGCGGGAUGAUGUAUUAUAGAACGAGUAAAGAGACUUGCCGGUAACGAGAUUGAACUAGGUAUAGGAUACCGACGAUCGAAUCUCUGGCAAGUAACAUACCAAUGACAAAGGGAACAACGUAUGUUGUUAUGCGGUCUGACCGAUAAAAGAUCUUCGUAGAAUAUGUAGGAACCAAUAUGGGCAUCCAGGUCCCGCUAUUGGUUAUUGACCGGAGACGUGUCUCGGUCAUGUCUACAUUGUUCUCGAACCCGUAGGGUCCGCAUGCUUAAGGUUUCGAUGACAGUUAUAUUAUGAGUUUAUGCGUUUUGAUGUACCGAAGGUUGUUCGGAGUCCCGAAUGUGAUCACGGACAUGCCGAGGAGUCUCGAAAUGGUCGAGACAUAAAUAUUGAUAUAUUGGAAGCCUAUGUUUGGAUAUCGGAAGUGUUCCGGGUGAAAUCGGGAUUUUACCGGAUUACCGGGAGGUUACCGGAACCCCCCCGGGAGGUAUAUGGGCCUUAGUGGGCCUUAGUGGAAGAGAGGAGAGGUGGCCAGAGAUGGGCCGCGCGCCCCUCCCCCCUUGGUCCGAAUAGGACAAGGAGAGGGGGCCGGCCCCCCUUCCUCCUCUCUCUCCUCUUCCCCCCCCCUCCGCGAAUCCUAUACCAACUAGGAAAGGGGGGGAGUCCUACUGCCGGAGGGAGUAGGACUCCUCCUGGCGCGCCUCCUCUUGGCCGCCCCCCCCUUUGAACCUUUAUAUACGGAGGCAAGAGGCACCCCUAAGGACAUAAGUUGAUCCACGUGAUCAUAUUCUUAGCCGUGUGCGGUGCCCCCUUCCACCAUAGCCCUCGAUAAUAUUGUAGCGGUGCUUAGGCGAAGCCCUGCGACAGUAGUACAUCAAGAUCGUCACCACGCCGUCAUGCUGACGGAACUCUUCCCCAACACUUUGCUGGAUCGAAGUCCGGGGAUCGUCAUCGAGCUGAACGUGUGCUAGAACUUGGAGGUGCCGUAGUUUCAGUGCUUGAUCGGUCGGGCCGUGAAGACGUACGACUACAUCAACCAAGUUAACGCUUCCGUUGUCGAUCUACAAGGGUACGUAGAUCACACUCUCCCCUCUCGUUGCUAUGCAUCAUCAUGAUCUUGCGUGUGCGUAGGAAUUUUUUUGAAAUUACUACGUUCUCCAACAUGGAUCCCAUCUCAGAUUUCAUGGCUUCAAUCCAUUUUGCAGAAUCUGGGCUCACCAUCGCUUCUUCAUAGUUCGUAGGUUCAUCAUGAUCUAGUAGCAUGACUUCCAGAACAGGAUUACCGUACCACUCUGGUGCGGGUCUUACUCUAGUUGAUCUACGAGGUUCAGUAGUAACUUGUUCUGAAGUUUCAUGAUCAUCAUCAUUAGCUUGCUCACUAAUUGGUGUAGGUGUCACAGAAACCGGUUUCUGUGAUGUACUACUUUCCAAUAAGGGAGCAGGUACAGUUACCUCAUCAAGUUCUACUUUCCUCCCACUCACUUAUUUCGAGAGAAACUCCUUCUCUAGAAAGGAUCCAUUCUUAGCAACAAAUGUCUUGCCUUCGGAUCUGUGAUAGAAGGUGUACCCAACAGUUUCCUUCGGGUAUCCUAUGAAGACACAUUUCUCCGAUUUGGGUUCGAGCUUAUCAGGUUGAAGCUUUUUCACAUAAGCAUCGCAUCCCCAAACUUUCAGAAACGACAACUUUGGUUUCUUGCCAAACCAUAGUUCAUAAGGCGUCAUCUCAACGGAUUUUGAUGGUGCCCUAUUUAACGUGAAUGCGUCCGUCUCUAAAGCAUAACCCCAAAACGAUAACGGUAAAUCUGUAAGAGACAUCAUAGAUCGCACCAUAUCAAGUAAAGUACGAUUACGACGUUUGGACACACCAUUACGCUAUGGUGUUCCGGGUGGCGUGAGUUGCGAAACUAUUCCGCAUUGUUUCAAAUGUAAACCAAACUCGUAACUCAAAUAUUCUCCUCCACGAUCAGAUCGUAGAAACUUUAUUUUCUUGUUACAAUGAUUUUCAACUUCACUCUGAAAUUCUUUGAACUUUUCAAAUGUUUCAGACUUAUAUUUCAUUAAGUAGAUAUACCCAUAUCUGCUUAAAUCAUCUGUGAAGGUGAGAAAAUAAUGAUAUCCGCCACGAGCUUCAACAUUCGUUGGACCACAUACAUCUGUAUGUAUGAUUUCCAACAAAUAUGUUGCUCUCUCCAUAGUACCGGAGAACGGCGUUUUAGUCAUCUUGCCCAUGAGGUACGGUUCACAAGUACCAAGUGAUUCAUAGUCAAGUGGUUCCAAAAGUCCAUCAGUAUGGAGUUUCUUCAUGCGCUUUACACCGAUAUGACCUAAACGGCAGUGCCACAAAUAAGUUGCACUAUCAUUAUCAACUCUGCAUCUUUUGGUUUCAACAUUAUGAAUAUGUGUAUCACUACUAUCGAGAUUCAUCAAAAAAUAGACCACUCUUCAAGGGUGCAUGACCAUAAAAGAUAUUACUCAUAUAAAUAGAACAACCAUUAUUCUCUGAUUUAAAUGAAUAACCGUCUCGCAUCAAACAAGAUCCAGAUAUAAUGUUCAUGCUUAACGCUGGCACCAAAUGACAAUUAUUUAGGUCUAAUACUAAUCCCGAUGGUAGAUGUAGAGGUAGCGUGCCAACCGCGAUCACAUCGACUUUGGAACCAUUUCCCACGCGCAUCGUCACCUCGUCCUUCGCCAGUGUUCGCUUAAUCCGUAGUCCCUGUUUCGAGUUGCAAAUAUUAGCAACAGAACCAGUAUCAAAUACCCAGGUGCUACUACAAGCUCUAGUAAGGUACACAUCAAUAACAUGUAUAUCACAUAUACCUUUGUUCACCUUGCCAUCCUUCUUAUCCGCCAAAUACUUGGGGCAGUUCCGCUUCCAGUGACCAGUCUGCUUGUAGUAGAAGCACUCAGUUUCAGGCUUAGGUCCAGACUUGGGUUUCUUCUCUUGAGCAGCAACUUGCUUGCUGUUCUUCUUGAAGUUCCCCUUCUUCUUCCCCUUGCCCUUUUUCUUGAAACUAGUGGUCUUGUUGACCAUCAACACUUGAUGCUCCUUCUUGAUUUCUACCUCCGCAGCUUUUAGCAUUGCGAAGAGCUCGGGAAUUAUCUUAUCCAUCCCUUGCAUAUUAUAGUUCAUCACGAAGCUCUUGUAGCUAGGUGGAAGUGAUUGGAGAAUUCUGUCAAUGACGCAAUCAUCCGGAAGAUUAACUCCCAGUUGAAUUAAGUGAUUAUUAUACCCAGACAUUUUGAGUAUAUGCUCACUGACAGAACUGUUCUCCUCCAUCUUGCAGCUAUAGAACUUAUUGGAGACUUCAUAUCUCUCAAUCCGGGCAUUUGCUUGAAAUAUUAGCUUCAACUCCUGGAACAUCUCAUAUGCUCCAUGACGUUCAAAAUGUCGUUGAAGUCCCGAUUCUAAGCCGUAAAGCAUGGCACACUGAACUAUUGAGUAGUCAUCAGCUUUGCUCUGCCAGACGUUCAUAACAUCUGGUGUUGCUCCAGCAGCAGGCCUGGCACCCAGCGGUGCUUCCAGGGCGUAAUUCUUCUGUGCGGCAAUGAGGAUAAUCCUCAAGUUAUGGAUCCAGUCCGUAUAAUUGCUACCAUCAUCUUUCAACUUUGCUUUCUCAAGGAACGCAUUAAAAUUCAACGGAACAAUAGCACGGGCCAUCUAUCUACAAUCAAACAUAAACAAGCAAGAUACUAUCAGGUACUAAGUUCAUAAUAAAUUUAAGUUCAAUUAAUCACAUUACUUAAGGACUCCCACUUAGAAAGACAUCCCUCUAAUCUUCUAAGUGAUCACGUGAUCCAAAUCAACUAAACCAUAACCGAUCAUCACGUGAAAUGGAGUAGUUUUCAAUGGUGAACAUCACUAUGUUGAUCAUAUCUACUAUAUGAUUCACGCUCGACCUUUCGGUCUCAGUGUUCCGAUGCCAUAUCUGCAUAUGCUAGGCUCGUCAAGUUUAACCUGAGUAUUCUGCGUGUGCAAAACUGGCUUGCACCCGUUGUUGAUGGACGUAGAGCUUAUCACACCCGAUCAUCACGUGGUGUCUGGGCACGACGAACUUUGGCAAUGGUGCAUACUCAGGGAGAACACUUUUAUCUUGAAAUUUAGUGAGAGAUCAUCUUAUAAUGCUACCGUCAAUCAAAGCAAGAUAAGAUGCAUAAAAGAUAAACAUCACAUGCAAUCAAUAUAAGUGAUAUGAUAUGGACAUCAUCAUCUUGUGCUUGUGAUCUCCAUCUCCGAAGCAUCGUCAUGAUCACCAUCGUCACCGGCGCGACACCUUGAUCUUCAUCGUAGCAUCGUUGUCGUCUCGCCAAUCUUAUGCUUCCACGACUAUCGCUACCGCUUAGUGAUAAAGUAAAGCAUUACAGCGCGAUUGCAUUGCAUACAAUAAAGCGACAACCAUAUGGCUCCUGCCAGUUGCCGAUAACUCGGUUACAAAACAUGAUCAUCUCAUACAAUAAAAUUUAGCAUCAUGUCUUGACCAUAUCACAUCACAACAUGCCCUGCAAAAACAAGUUAGACGUCCUCUACUUUGUUGUUGCAAGUUUUACGUGGCUGCUACGGGCUUAGCAAGAACCGUUCUUACCUACGCAUCAAAACCACAACGAUAGUUUGUCAAGUUGGUGUUGUUUUAUCCUUCGCAAGGACCGGGCGUAGCCACACUCGGUUCAACUAAAGUUGGAGAAAUUGACACCCGCCAGCCACAUGUGUGCAAAGCACGUCGGUAGAACCAGUCUCACGUAAGCGUACGCGUAAUGUCAGUCCGGGCCGCUUCAUCCAACAAUACCGCUGAACCAAAGUAUGACAUGCUGGUAAGCAGUAUGACUUAUAUCGCCCACAACUCACUUGUGUUCUACUCGUGCAUAUAACAACAACGCAUAAAACCUAGGCUCUGAUGCCACUGUUGGGGAACGUAGUAAUUUCAAAAAAAAUCCUAAGCACAUGCAAGAUCAUGGUGAUGCAUAGCAACGAGAGGGGAGAGUGUUGUCUACGUACCCUCGUAGACCGGAAGCGGAAGCGUUAGCACAACGCGGUUGAUGUAGUCGUACAUCUUCACGGCCCGAUCGAUCAAGCACCAAAACUACGGCACCUCCGAGUUCUAGCACACAUUCAGCUCGAUGACGAUCCCCAGAUUCCGAUCUAGCAAAGUUCGGGGAUGAGUUCCGUCAGCACGACGGCGUGGUGACGAUCUUGAUGUUUUACCGUCGCAGGGCUUCGCCUAAGCACCGCUACAAUAUUAUCGAGGACUAUGGUGGAGGGGGGCACCGCACACGGCUAAGAGAUCAAUGAUCAACUGUUGUCUAUGGGGUGCCCCCUGCCCCCGUAUAUAAAGGAGUGGAGGAGGGGGCCGGCCAAGGAGGGUGGCGCGCCCUAGGGGGGAGUCCAACUCCCACCGGGAGUAGAAAUCCCCUUUUUCCUAUUAGGAGUAGGAGAGGGAAGGAAGAGGAAGGAGGACGGAAGGAAAGAAGGGGCCGGCCCCCUUCCCAAUUCGGAUUGGGCUUGGGGGGGCGCUCCCUCCCUUGCUCCUUUCCACUAAGGCCCAAUAAGGCCCAUAUACCUCCCGGGGAGUUCCGAUAACCUCCCGGUGAUCCGGUAUUGUCCUAAUCUCACCCGGAACAUUUCCGGUGUCCAAAUAUAGUCAUCCAAUAUAUCGAUCUUUAUGUCUCGACCAUUUUGAUACUCCUCGUCAAGUCCGUGAUCACAUCCGGGACUUCGAACAACCUUCGGUACAUCAAAAUAUAUAAACUCAUAAUGAAAAUGUCAUCGUAAUGUUAAGCAUGCGGACCCUACGGGUUCGAGAAUAAUGUAGACAUGACCGAGACACGUCUCCGAUCAAUAACCAAUAGCGGAACCUGGAUGCUCAUAUUGGCUCCUAUAUAUUCUAUGAAGAUCUUUAUCGGUCAGACCGCAUAACAACAUACGUUUGUUCCCUUUGUCAUCGGUAUGUUACUUGCCCGAGAUUCGAUCGUCGGUAUCUCAAUACCUAGUUCAAUCUCGUUACCGGCAAGUCUCUUUACUCAUUCUGUAAUACAUCAUCUUGCAACUAACUUAUUAGUUGCAUUGCUUGCAAGGCUUAAGUGAUGUGCAUUACCGAGAGGGCCCAGAGAUACCUCUCCGACAAUCGGAGUGACAAAUCCUAAUCUCGAAAUACGCCAACCCAACAUGUACCUUUGGAGACACCUGUAGAGCACCUUUAUAAUCACCCAGUUACGUUGUGACGUUUGAUAGUACACAAAGUGUUCCUCCGGUAAACGGGAGUUGCAUAAUCUCAUAGUCAUAGGAACAUGUAUAAGUCAUGAAGAAAGCAAUAGCAACAUACUAAACGAUCGGGUGCUAAGCUAAUGGAAUGGGUCAUGUCAAUCACAUCAUUCUCCUAAUGAUGUGAUCCCGUUAAUCAAAUGACAACUCAUGUCUAUAGUUAGGAAACAUAACCAUCUUCGAUUAACGAGCUAGUCAAGUAGAGGCAUACUAGUGACACUUUGUUUGUCUAUGUAUUCACACAAGUAUUAUGUUUCCGGUUAAUACAAUUCUAGCAUGAAUAAUAAAAAUUUAUCAUGAUAUAAGGAAAUAAAUAAUAACUUUAUUAUUGCCUCUAGGGCAUAUUUCCUUCAGGGGUAUCAUGUAUUCCUUGGCCUCUGCGACGGUGAGCACCUGCUAAAGCAGAGUAGAGCAUGUGCCAGAUUGCUUAGUUUUCUGAGCACAAGAAGAGUAGUAUGCCUUCUGGAAAGAAAUAGUUUUAGCAUAAAGGGAGAAUGAACAAGCAAGUUGCAAGAUCACAUUCUUCACAUGGAGAUUAAAGGUGCCAAAGAAUGCAUCUAAUAUUCACAGAGGACUAAGCUUUGCUAACAAAUUCAUUAUGGAGAGUAUUUUCAUCUAAAAUGAUCUACUACAUAUAGCUCAGUUUUUGGCAGAUAUAGCAGCGUCGUGGUAUUACAUGCAAUCCACUGCAAAAGGCUUCACUACUUUUCUAUCAAGAUUUUUCAUGAAGUAAUAUGUAUGUCCUUUUUAGAUGGUACUGCUACAUGUAGCAUCAUACUCUAAUACUGAGUGGUUAACCUGCUUCCUUUCUCCAAAUAUACAAUUGCACUAUUAGCGGUAGCACUGCCUGAUAUAUGUCACUUUUCUGUAACCCCUAAAGACUGAAUCAAUGAUCAAUGCAUAAAAAUCCUGUUCUGAGCAAUACAAAAUCAUGACUAUGGUCUGUUCUGCAUACAUAUAUAGUGCAUGCUACUGAUACUUAUCAUAGUGGAUGUAUGUAUUUAUUUCAGGUAAUUUUUUCUCUUGCAACUGCAUACACAUACAGCGCAUGCCACUGAUAUUUAUUAUAGUGGCUCUACCUAUUUCUUUCAAGUAAUUUUCUUGCCUUACUAAAUCUACAUAUCCUCACAAAAUUGCUCGAGUGCAUUGAACCUGAAUCUAACUAAAUCUACAUAUAGUGAUAAAAUUGCUCGAGUGCACUGAACCUGAGUCUUGCUAAAUCUACAUAUCCUGACAAAAUUGCUCGAGUCCACCGUGAAAGAUCGUGGAUGUCGCCUAGAGGGGGGGUGAAUAGGCGUUUUAAAAUGAUUACGAUUUAGGCUUGAACAAAUGCAGAAUAAACCUAGCGGUUAAUUUGUCAAGCACAAAACCUAAAGCAACUAGGCUCACCUAUGUGCACCAACAACUUAUGCUAAGCAAGAUAAGCAACUGUGAUAGCAAGAUAUAUGACAAGAAACAAUAUGGCUAUCACAAAGUAAAGUGCAUAAGUAAAGAGCUCGGGUAAGAGAUAACCGAGGCACGCGGAGACGACGAUGUAUCCCGAAGUUCACACCCUUGCGGAUGCUAAUCUCCGUUUGGAGCGGUGUGGAGGCACAAUGCUCCCCAAGAAGCCACUAGGGCCACCGUAAUCUCCUCACGCCCUCGCACAAUGCAAGAUGACGUGAUUCCACUAAGGGACCCUUGAGGGCGGUCACCGAACCCGUACAAAUGGCAACCCUUGGGGGCGGUCACCGAACCCGUACACUUUGGCAACCCUUGGGGGCUGUCACCGGUACCCGUCAAAUUUCUCGGGGCGAUCUCCACAACCUAAUUGGAGACCCCGACGCUUGCCCGGAGCUUUACACCAUAAUGAUUGAGCUCCGAACAACACCAACCGUCUAGGGCGCCAAGGCACCCAAGAGGAACAAGCUCUAGGGUGCCCAAACACCCAAGAGUAAUAAGCUUCUCAAACUUCACUUCCACGUAUCACCGUGGAGAACUCAAACCGAUGCACCAAAUGCAACGGCAAGGGCACACGGAGUGCCCAAGUCCUUCUCUCUCAAAUCCCACCGGAGCAACUAAUGCUAGGGAGGAAAAUGAGAGGAAGAACAAGAAGGAGAACACCAAGAACUCCAAGAUCUAGAUCCAAGGGGUUCCCCUCACAUAGAGGAGAAAGUGAUUGGUGGAAAUGUGGAUCUAGAUCUCCUCUCUCUUUUCCCUCAAAAACUAGCAAGAAUCCAUGGAGGGAUUGAGAGUUAGCAAGCUCAAAGAAGGUCAACAAUGGGGGCAAAAACGAGCUCAAGAGAUAGAGAACCAUUGGGGAAGAAGACCCCCUUAAAUAGGUCCCCACGAAUCUGCCCGUUAUGUAUAGAACAACAUAGGAGCGGUACAACCUCUAUGAGCACCGGUACAACCGGUAACAGGCAAUAAGCGGUACAACCGGCCCACAACCGCCCAACAACCGCACCACAACAGAGGCCAGUCCGGUGGUAGAGCGAUACAUGACCGGUACAACCUCCAGACCAAUUCUGGAGCGGUACAACCGCUCCAAACACCGGUUGUACCGGUCAAGCGGUACUACCUCUCCAUGGGGCGGUACAACCUCUCUGUGUAAAACAGGCAAUAUCAAAACAGCCACAACUUUCGCAUACGAGUUCCGAAUUCAACGAAACCAAGUUUGUUGGAAAGCUAAUGACAAGGGCUAACACAAUCUUGAGAGAAAUAUCAAUAAGAAGCAAAUGAGAAAAGGACCAUAAUAAAAUGGUGAGAACCCUUCCUCGGAUAAGACCGGUAAAACCUCCAACACCGAAAACAUUAUAGAAGAUGCAUGCGAACUCCGUUUUCGAUGAACUCAAGCUUGUCAUAAAGAUGACCAUAAGCUCUAAGACUCACAAAUGAAACCAAACAAGAACCAAGAAAGAUGAUGCAAGGAUGGAAUGGUUUGAGCUCUCGACUAAUGAUACGAUCAAGCUACUGCCUAGAGAGCCCCCCUUGAUAGUACGACAAUCGAUCCUACAACCCGGUCUCCCAACUACCACCAUGAGACCGGUAAAAUAGAAAACCUAUCAAGGGCAAACCUUUGCCUUGCACAUAGUCCACUUGAGCUAGAUGAUGACGAUCUUGACUUACUCAAGUUGGACCACCUUUCUUGAUUGUGUUGGCUCGAUGAAGACUAGUUGAUUGCUCCCCCAUACUCCACUAUGGGUGAGCCACUCUUUGGCAUAUAUUCACAAUUACAUUGACACCACAAUGGACAGCAAGCUUCAAGCUUGAUUGCUCCCCCAUAAUCCAUUAUGGGUGAGCCACUCUUCGAGUUGCUCCACUUGAACUUGCACACUGCAAACUUGAUGACGAUCACCACUUGAUGUCAUCCUCCAUGGGUUGUAUGAGAUCUUCCUCUUGACGCAAAACCAUGGAAACAUACCUAACCCCACAAAGAACUCUCACGUAGACCAUGGGUUAGUACACAAAGCGUAAUGGACAAUGCUUACCGUACCAUGGGAUCACUUGAUCCCUCUCGGUACUUCUUCUACGCUUUGUGAGUUGAUCAACUUGAUUCACUCUUGACUUAGUCUUGAUCAACAUUGAAUCUUUCCAACUCUCAUUUGGAUGAUGUCUUGAAGGUAACCAUGAAUGAUCACACAAUCUUCUUCUUCAAGACAUGCUUGCAAUAAGCUCAACUCACACAUGACCAAUCUUUGGAUAAUUCCUUGAAAAGCACUUUGGCAAUCUCAACUCACACAUGACCAAUCUUUGGAUAAUUCCUUGAAAAGCACUUUGCUCAUCUCAUAAACUCCUUGAAACCAACACAUGGACUUCAAGACAAUCCUAUGGACAAAUCCUUCAAAUAUAACUCAAGGCAACCGUUAGUCCAUAGAGAUUGUCAUUAAUUACCAAAACCACACAUGGGGGCACGACAUGUCCUUUCACACCGAGCAUGGCAAAUUGUAUAAAUAAAAUAAGUAGUAUAAGAAACCAAAACACAAAAGUAAAGCAUGCAGGCAAUACCCAGUUAGUCACCAGAAUAAAACAAUAAGUAAUCAACAGAAACAAAAGAAGAAAAACUAAAAACACAUAUGCAUAGAACACUAACCUUAAUAGCAAGACGGGGAACCACCGAGGUAACAGAGCGGCAGACGACAAAGAAAGUGAAGGGAACCACAACAUGACCUAUAAAACAAAAGGAACCAGGGACCUACAUGAGAGGCAGGUCCAAAGAGCAAGCACAAACCUCGCUAGGAAAUAGAGCAGCUGAGAAGCUGAGCAAAGGAUACAAAAAACAAAAAGAACAAAGUCAUCAUGCUUCAGAUAAGCACAUAGAUGACGAUAUGAAUAAACGGCCAAAAAAGGACCUACUGGACACUGAAAUAAUGGCUCAUUUUAUUGGAGUGUCCACUAAUUUGCAUGUAUUAAUGAGCAACAAGAACCAUUCUGUGGACAUAUAAUAGGAAGUGGUGCUGCAUCGGAUUCUAAAGAACACACUAAAGCAACAGAAAGAGAUGGCCCACUAAAUUCCGAAGCACACAUAUCAAAGGAGCAAGCAUUGGUCUAUGCACACGCAAGCGAUAAUGCCUAUUACACUGGAUUCUGCAGCAAGCAUCAUUAGCAAGACAGGAACAAAAUUUGGGCACAUCCUACUUGUAAGGAUAUGCCCGGAAAGGAUCACGCAACAAGAAAAUCACCAGCACAAGCAUAAGGAAAGACGGCCUAAUGCACAAUGCAACCAUGGAUCAAGUAACUUUCAUAUGCCAAUGAGCUGCAACCAUGGAUCAAUUAACUUGCAUGUGUCAAUGAGCAACAAGAGUAAAUCCGUACAAGUGCAAAUAGCAGGAUGUGGCCUGGUAGAUCACAAAGUACACAUAUAUAAGCAGCAGCAACUGGAUUGCCCUUACACAACAAGGAGCAACAAACAACAAGGAUUGUAGAAGAACGGUCAAAAGCUAUAACCUGCCCAUGCAAGACAGGGUACUGAAAAUCGAGUAAACUGCACAAGCAUGGACCUGAACCUAAAUGAAUAUACGCCUCCGAAAGCAGCAAGCAGGAACAAAAGAACCGAAGCAAUCAUAAGCAAGAAAGGAUGUGCUUUUUUUCAACAAGAUCAAAAGGAUAACCCCACAAGCAGCAGGAUAGGCACACACAACUAAUAAAGCAAUCCAAGGAAAGCACGACUAACCUUGCUAGCCAACAACACAGACGGUCAGCGAACAAGCAAAAGACCUGGACAGGUAACGAAACGAGAAACAAAGCCAUGUCAGUUAACAUGCAUUUCGUCAAACAGGACAUGAGCAAGGAAGAACUCACCUUCUCGAGCAGCAAGGCGAAGGACGAACAACAGAGAGACUGACCCUGCACAAACAACGGAAGGAGGAGACUACCAAUUCAACUACCAUCGGCCACUCUUGCUCUCCAAUUGGACUAUCUGGCACUUGUGUUGAGACACCGAAGUUCAACAUGCCGAGAAAAGUCUCAUCGCACUCCAUCUGCAGAAAAUUCGACACAAGUUUCAUAUAGCACCACAUCAUAUAGCCUACCUAGAAGCAUCAAUAUCAAAGGAAAAUCUUUAUAUAAGUAGCAGUAGCAACAUCAGUAGCACUGAACAUAUUUAGUAGUACACCAUUUGAAUAAAUUUAGCUCGGUAGCACUGAACGUAUUCAAUUAACCACCUAGCCUGAACAUAUCCAGCGACAGAGACCCCAAAGGCCAUCCCAGUCCAGCGACAGAGAUCCCAUAGGCCAUCACCAUGCUCCCCGUCCCUGCUGCGCGGCGACUCCUGCUGGAGUCCAUCCGCGGCAACCCCGAGCACGAGCUCCCGAGGGUCCAGCUGCUCCAGGACACAAUUUUGGGUCAAAUUAGAAAACCCCAUCCAUCUCCCCACGAACUGCAAGAACUUGCAGAAGGGUUGGCGAGUAUCAAACCAAUCCAUUCGAAGAACCUAUGAAUGCGCCAGAUGCUACAGCCAAGAACCCAUUCCCCUCAUGAACUGGGCACCGCACCUGACCAGACAGCCAAGAACUCAUAUCUCUGAUAGACUGGGUGCAAGAAAGAGGCCAAGAAGGACAUAGAGAACACCCACCAAAUUUCACCAACCGAACCAAGAUGCUAGAGGACGAUGGGCACGGACGAGAAGGUAAAGGGGAUUACAGAGAGAAACCCACGGGCGUGUCGGCUGGUGUGCGUGGCUGCUGCUCUACUCCUCCUGCCGAGUUCGGAUCAAGGUCAUGCUCCUCGGCUUCGGCUCGAGCUCCUCCUGCUGAGGCCAGGUCAAGGCCGACGGGCGCCUGCAGAGCGCAGGGCGGGGGUGGCUGGCUGCGCCCGUGCCCCCCGGCGUCCUGCUGAGUCACCCCUCGGCUCAAGCUCAAGCUAGGUGGCCACGGUGAAGAGGUGGAGAAGGGGGCUCAAAGGCCGCUGGUGCGGCGGCGGCAAGAGAGAGGAGGCAGACGAGGCCGAGGAAGCGGCGGUAGGAGAGGAGGUGGCUGCGAGGGCGCGGGCGCAGGUGGUGGCAGUGGAGGAGGCAGACAAGGCCGAGGCGGCGGCGGCAGGAGAGGAGGCGGACGAGGCCGAGGCGGCGGUGACGCCAGGAGAGGAGGCGGCUGCGGCGGCGCGGGCUAGGUCUGAUUAUUUUUGCCUCUUCUCACUGCCGCUUCCCCUUUUCUUUGUGCCCCCACGCUGCCAGCUUCUCGUUUCUCUCUACACUAUAGCGAAUAAAAGGAGACGUGGCCAGUGCCGCUAGUUGGGCACACUGGCUCAUCCUUUAUAUGUUCAACUAGAUGACACAGUUGCGCCAAUGGCGCAAGAAGCGAAUUAGAAAGAAUGUUAUUAGUGAGUAAGUAGGAGAUGUAACUGGAAAUAUAAUGCAAUGUGGAUUGUAUUACGUCAUGUAUUAACCACAAAUCAUGAAAUCAAUACCAGAGAACCAAAUAAUGUCACAAUGUCACCACCUCUGUACUAACAACCAACAUUUUAGCAUAAGGAGUAUCACAGGAGUGUUUACUUGCACAUCAGGAGUAUCACAAUUACAACUAAAGAGGCAUAGUCCUCACUGCUGUCCCUGAGCCCUUCACAAGGAGAGUUCCAAGCCUCGCAACUUCUUCCUCCAGCUCUGCACAUGACCCUCAGUUACAAAUCUCAUCCCUCGGCUAUGAUUAUUUUAAGAUGAAAUCAACAUGCUAUUUCUCUCACAUGGAACAUGUUCAAAAUUUACUCAGUCUCAUAAUGGCAUGAUCAAUAACUGAAAAAACUGGAACAAUAACGCUUGUAGCAUUAAAAAACCGAAAGUGAAUUGAGGACAACAGCACAAUUAUUUACAACAACGGCAAGCUUGGCUGCUGCAAAAUGAUCACUCUAAAACUAUAUCUUUAGAACCAAAUUAAAAAGGAACAAAAUAAUCUAAUAUUCCCUCCUUCAAAAAUAACUAUCUCAACUUUGUACAAAAACAUCAUGUAUCUUUAGGACCAAUUUUUACACCAUGGCACCACAAAUCAAGAAUAGACAUAUCAGAUUGCAACGUAUUCAUGAUCAGUUACCAAUGAUGUCACACCAAGGAUUUGCACAUAUAACCUGAAAUAACUGCAGCUAGCUUGAAGUCUGAAAUCUACCGAGUGAUAGACAAAAGCAAUACCACCAAACCUUAUUCUUAUUGGACGAGCACAAGAUUUAUGAGAAGAUAACACAUAAAAAAAAUCCUAUUUGGUUUCUGGAUGCAUGCACUUUCUCGAUUGUGCACAUCAAAGCAUGGAAGAACAUUCCUAGGAGAGCCAUUGUAGCACAACGAAGUAAACCAAAAAUCAAAAAAGAGAAGUGAAUUUGUAUCAUGUAAUUUAGCAAUGCAUCAGCCCAUAUCACCAUUUAUUUUUCAAAGACCAAAGAAAAUGACAGAAGUUUCCCUAUUCUUUCCUGCACCUUUCUACCUACGAGCGCCACAUAGACUGUUUCCACUUGGACAUAGCAAUCCUCGGCGCGAGCUGCAGAAGAACCACACACGCACAUACGUCAACAUACGUCAGGCCAGGAGACACAAACACGGGCGCCGUGAGGGGGGAACGGAACGGACCGGAAGGGGAGAGACAGAUCGAAAGAGGGAACGUACGGAGGCAUAGUCAGGCUGGGAGACGUGGAGGGCUUUCUCCUUCCUAGUAGUUCUUGAGGGUUUCUCAUUCCUAGAGAUUUGCAUACAUGGACAACAUACCCAUGCCCUUCGUUUGGUGGGCAUGUUUUUUUUUCAAAAAUUGUGUUGCUGGUGCUCUCAAAUAAUUAAAUGGAUUAGUUUGAAAUUCCAAAUUAAUCUAAUGAAACUCCCAAAUAUAUCUAUAAAUAUUCCAAUUUACCGAAGCUUAGCUUUGAGCCAUAGGUUUUACAUAACAUUUUAGUAAAUGUUCUUUUACACAACUUCCAUAGUAUACAUGACUUAAAAAAUAGCUUGAACCGACAAUAAGUUUUCAGCCCAACAUAAAGAAACACACAAAAAGUACUAUGAGAUCAAUGGAAACAACAUAUUGAUGUAUAGGUUAAUAAAUAAAGAAUCGUCUACUCAAAAGGAAAAACAUGGCAUCAUUAUAUGGAUGUGAAAAGCGUAGAUAGGAUAUGUAUGUUAGUUAGCGAAUCUUGAAGGUGACCUAGUAAAUACCAAAAGGCAUAUGCAGAAACAACUCAAAAAAUUUCUUUUAGUAAAUUAUGUAUGGAUGCAGAUCGACACUUUGGGUGAGCGUGUUCCGGUAAUCAACUGCAACACACCGAGUCAAAAAUCAUGAACUGAGAAGUAGGUGAUCUAAAAUGCAUUUGUUUAAACUAAGCCAGCAAGAAUAACAUAUUAUAUUUUAAUCUGGAUCCUUCAUGUAAAGAAAUAACAUAAAAAGAAUCAAGAAUUUAUCAAUUUAUUCAACAAAGAGCAGUGAAAGUGAAACAUAGCAGGCACACCAAAUAAAUCUGGGCACAUAUAGAAACAUUCCUAACAUUCUCACACAUAAAAAGCAGCUAAUCACUCGUUGCGCCGAUGGUACAAAGGGCGACAGCAAACCAAGCAUUCAAAUCAUGCACGUAAAAUUUGUUUAAGGACUGAUAAUAAAGUAUAAAGAAAUAGAUACUUAGGUAGCAUGUUAAUACACAGUGAUAUAUGUUACAGUGCAUGCUAGCAUGAUAGCCCAAAACAAAGUUGUCAGCAGUUCAUGAUAGGAAAGCAAAGCUAUACAGGUAUUCUGAACUAUGAUUGGACUUGGUUCAGUGGGGUUUGUAUAAACAGCAUGCCCAGCAUUUACAAAAGCAUUAGCCUACAAAAUAAAAAAGCUAUCAGAAUACUUAAACCUUGUGAAUCACUUGUGUGAUAGUGACAUAGUAGAAAAAUGCAUACAGGAGAUGGCCCCAUUCUAAGCGUCAUCAUUGUCCGUCCAAGCUCAAAAAGCAUAGCCCCCAGAUGUUGUAUCGCUACUCCCAACUCUGUCGACUCAUUCUGGAUCUGGCUUCACAUAGAUGUAUCACAAGUGGCAGCAUCUCUCUGAAUACAUUGUGCGAGAUGCUGAAAUAGGAAUCAGGUGAAUGGAGGUAAGUCUACACAAAAGUACCACUUAGCUCUUCCGUUGUCUAAUAAAUUAUUUGAGAGUAAAAAAUAAUUUAGAAGACACAAAGCUACAUCAUAGCACUACAUAAUCAGUUGCCGAAAAACAAAGCAUGAAAUUCUAACAGUAGAAAAGCAUCAACAGUCCUAUGAGCAUUGUGUUCAGAGAGUAAGAUGUGUUACCAGGAAAAAACACAUAAAACUGAAAGAGGCAUGGUUGUAUAUAGAUAGAUCGAUACAACCUUGUACAGUCGGUCUUCGGGCAAGCAUCGCCUGCAGGUUCACUUCAAUUACAGUGCCUCACAUGAAACCAACGAUGAAAAGUCUACCAUCAACUGCUAAGCUAUCCAGAUUGCCUUGGAGAUAAGAUAUGCCUACGUUGUACAGAAUGACAACAAGGUUUGGUAGAGCUAUUCCACAUAUUACAGUUAGAAUGUAUAUGAAAUUGACGGGUAUAACUUGGUAAAGCGAAAUAAUUUUAUUUUACUUUUGCAUCAGGGCAUCAAGCGUCACAAGAGGAUGGCAGGAUAAUACCAUUUCCAUUAGUUUCUUCUUCGAUACGUGCUACAAAGGUUUUGUAGUUUCUGCAUAUGUCCACACCUUAAACGUCGCAAGCAGUUAGUUUCUCUUUGGCUUUCUAGAGCGGCAUAACAGAGUUGCUUUCGGAAAACAUCUUUGUACCAUAUAUACUGUAUCUAUCUGAACCAAUAAACCUGCAGUGAGAAAAAACCUUGAUUCCAAGGCACUUUGCAAUCUGUAUAGCAAAUGUGCUAGUUCCGCUUGAUCCACUAUGGAUCUGCAUACGACUGGAGAUAGGUCGACAUGAAAAAAAAACAUAGGCAUGAAAAUUCCGUUCCAGUUCAAUUCUCACAACACCAAAUUGUGCACCUCUUUUUGCAUACAAGUGAUUACUAAAUCAUUCCAUACUCCAUUCGAGUAGCACUAUUCAAUACUUUGUUGUUUAUCAGUUAGUCAGAGCAUGUCAAUUUGGUGAUGACUAAGGAAGAUUCACGUUCUGCAAUCCUAACAAACAAAUUAGCCAGAGAGAUUUUCUUAAAGGGAAGGGAUUCACCUGGGGAGAUGGCUGGUCAUGAAGACGUGCAGGACACCUUGGGCAAGCCGGCGGCAUCGGUCAGCGAUACCCUCUCUGACACCGGGAGCAACAGCCUCGCCGGCACCACAACCUUCUCCGUGUACCUGCGUAAGCAACGAGAGCAGCUGCAUGACCUCAAGCCAAUACAAAAUAUUCAAGAAAUCAAUCAAUCAGUACACAAUAUUCUCUUAGUUGUCCCAAUCAAUCAGGAAUUGUGUACCUUUUGAACAGUUGUAGGAAAAUCCUCUUCUAGCCACUUUGUAUCUUUGAUGACUUCUUUUACUGGCCUCCCAUUAAUUUUGGCAUUCAAGAAAUUAGGAACCUACUCAAGUGGAAAUCAUCAAAUCAGUACUCCAAAGCACUACCAAUAGAGUAGCCAUGUUUGUAAUCAUAUCUUCACCUGAGUUGUUGAAUGGUUUCCCCAAAUAGUCAUAUUUGUCACUCUGUCAUAAAACACACCAGCUUUUAAUGCUAGCUGCAAAAACAUUGUGAAUGACAGAUUAGUCUUGUCAUUUGUUGAAAUAAAAUAACUGAAACAUAUCAGAAAUAAUUAAGAUUCAUUGAGAGUAUAACACAGCAAGAAAAUGGCAGUGCCUGGUCCUUUCAAUUGUAAACAGGUCUACUAUUUUUUUUACCGAUGACACAAGUCAUAAGUUUCUUUUGCAGCUAGAUGAACAUACACAAGUUAUCUGAUGGCCUACAUAUGACAACAAAUUUAACAUAUGGCAGAAAAAUUAACAUUAUGACCAAGGCAGAAUAAAAGGACUGGAACUUGUAGUUUUGGGAACCUGGCUGGCAAAGACUAAUGCAAACUUUAUCCAUGCCUGCAGGAUAAAGUUGGCAGUGGAUAAAUUCAAGAGAUAACAGAGUCUUUGCAUGGCAGCUCAGAAGCAGGUAUACACCAUUAACCUGUCCGUGGAAAUUGAUAAGCGUAUGAUUAUUUGAAACAAGUGUAUGAUCAUGGGUCAUAUAGCUGACACAAAUUUGAUUUUGCAAAAAUGGAGGGAUAUUAGGAGAUAAGUUUCAGUUUUUUUGUCACACCUAACCUUCUAAUUCAGCCUGAGCAAGAGCAGAGCAUGAGAGACCUUGAAGAGUCGGAGAGGAGCAGCACUCUUGUCCUGUAGGUGGUGCUGACCUCCAUUUCCAGAUCCAGCAAUCUCCUCUCUCGUCUCCUCACUGAAGAAACCAACAUGGCCAUGUAAAUGCUUCAGUUUUUGAGAAUCAGUGCACAUGAACUGCACAUGUUCGCUUGCAUACUGAAACUGAACAAAAGGGAGGGUGCUACCUGCAGCAAGGAAGGGAGCAAGGACCUUGUGCGGUGCAUUGUGCGGGACAUAAGGGUAUUGAAUAUUGUGCUGAAAUAUGGAACAUUGGAUAAUCUGAUGUUAACAUUGCACAGCAAAGAGGAACCAGCACAGUUUUAGUGGUACAACACUGAAUUUCUACUUCUGAAUAUUGACAGUACAAUAUACUCAGAAGUAUAAUUUCUUCUACUGAAUAUUGACAGUACACCAGUAUUCAGUUUAUAUAAACAAUAAUAUAUUCUCUGAAGUUUUAGUUGCUUUCUUCAGACAAUCUUACCCGAUGCAGUCAAAAUUUUCAGUUUUGACAAGUCUUGCGAUAAUUCUAGCAAAUUAAUUGUCAAGAUUGAUGGCACUGCUUACCAUCUCUCUCAGGAGCACAUUGUCUUCUGCUUCCUUUGCAGUUUUUUCAAAUAUACCCACCGGCAUUGACGAACAGGACACAUUCAUCUUCAUGAGAGCAGGCACUGAAAGGGUAAUAAGAAAAUGUUCAGACAGAGCUAACAAAAGCAUUAUAAGAUGAAGGUUUCUUAGCAGGGAGCAGUACACAAAAAUGAACCUGGAUCGGAGGGAACAAAAAUGAAGGCUUUUUAGCAGGGAACAAAAACUUCAGUCAUAGCGUGUGAAAUAACCUAAGAAAGGUUAGCUCUAAACCUAAAUCAGGGCCAUUUUCAAGCAGGGGAGCAGCCAAGGCUAACUCUGAACCAACUCAAGGAUUUGGGGGCUGCACGAUUCCUAGUGCUUAUCAAUCCGAGCCAACUCAAGGAUUCCUAUCCAGAUUCUUAUCAAUCCGACCUUAUGAAUCCACUUGUCAACUUACGGACCGCAACAGACUAAUCCAUGGCAAGACCAGCGAAGGACGGUAACUUGACACGACGGAGAGCACGACCUGCGCAGCAGUCGGCUCGCCUCAGCCCGGAGACGGCGACGCGCGGCCCGGAGACCAGCAUCAUGGACUCCGCCUCCACCCCCUGCGGCGCCGGGUUGGUCGGGAUCGGGGUUGGCGUUGCAGGCUGGCAGCGCCGCCUCCCAGCCCGCGUUCCAGGCGAAGUCCAUGGGUGGCCGACGGAUCCGGCGACCCAUCGGCUCCUUGGACCGAAAGCACAGCCUUUUCGGUGGCAAGCCGGAGCAGAGUGCGGCAGAGGCGAGAGGAGCAGAGCGUGGCGUCGGCGAGAGCCAUCCUCCUGCGUCUUGUGACAAGAACUCUCCGCGCCGUCCACCUACUAGCCUGGGGCGCGGCGGACGAGAAAGGCAGAGGUACGGCAGCACAAGAGCAGGAUGGAGCCGGCCGCCUCUGCGUCCCGCGGUCCUCCUGCUGAGGACGACAGUGAUAGCGCCAUGGACCACCGUGAGGAGAAGACUGGAGCUGCGGCGUCAUCCUGCAGGACGUACCCGCGAGCGCCGGCCGGCGUCACGUAUCCCGCUUCACCGCGCACCACGGAUCUGCUUCUCCGGUGCCGAUGCCUCACCACCGCGCACCCCCUUCUCCCAUCUCCUCUGCAACGGCUCGCUCCCUCCUCGAUCUCACAUCCUCUUCUUUGCUGCACCAUCAUCGAUCCACACCUCCCCUGCCUCUGAACUCCGACGCAGGGCUGGGAAGGGGGCUCCUCCGUCGGCUGGGAAGGGCUCUAGAUGAGGAGGGCAGGGGAGAGGCGGCGGCUGCGCGGGGGAGGGUGGGGAGUGGAGAGCGGGGGAGGAGGAUGGACGCGGGGCUCGAGGAGCACGAGGGAUUGGCUGAUAGGGUUCCACCCCACGUUCUCGUCGUCCCCACUGCAGUAAAAUUCGCUCACGUACGCAAAAUUAAAGCAAAACCACCUAAUUCUCUCGACCCACAGCCAACGAGCCCCACCCGUCACUGACCUAUGAAGUUGCUGCUGAUGUACAGAAGGACCAACGGUUGACCAAACGCCAGCAGACAAAAUCGAUCAACAGUAAAAGAUCAAACAGACGACGAAGCUCAGCGCGCGCAAGGCCUCCAGAAUGGCGGGUUGCGUAGAAGGGUUUAUAUGUUCAAUUAGGAGGAUUGUGUUGUGCAACCACUACCAUAUCUAAACAGCGAAAAAAUUACUGAAAACAAAUCCACCAAAAAGAGGGAUCGAACACUGCACCACCCACUUGUCCGGCUCAUCAUUCACCGCACGAGGUGAUGAGCUUCAAUAUUUAAUUAUCGAAGGCGGAUUAUAAGAACUGGAGCAACCACCAAACCUAAAAUAUUGUUUUCAAUUUUGAAAUGCCUUUUCUUUUGUUUGUUUCUUUAUUGGUUUUUCUUUCCUUUUUCACUUUUUGUACCACUUUUUCUAAAAUGAAAAUUUUGAAAACUAUUAGCAUUCUGAAAAGAAUUCAAAAAAUAUUCGCUUUUUCUCAACAGACUGUUUGCAAUGACAUAAACUGUUCGCUUUUCAACAUGUUCGGAAAUUUAAAAAUUAUUUGGAUUUUCAUCAAAUGUUCCAAUUUUCAAAAAGUGUUUGGAAUAUCAAAAAUUGUUUGCAUUUGUUUCCAUUUUUUUGAAAAAUUGUAAAAAAUGUGCAUAUUUGCAAAACAUAGUUCCCAGGUGCCAAAAUUGUCCGGUCUUGAGUUUGCGGGAAAGUUCCACGUGGGAACAUUUUUUGUCAUUCUGAACAAUGUUUCUAAAACAUGAUUUUUUUCGAAAAAAAGGGCCAAACAAUUUUUGAAAAAGCGAGCUUUUUUUAGUUUAUGAACAAAAAUUAGAAAACCUGCAAAAUUCUUGAGAAACACAAACAUCUUUUGAAAAACUAGAGCAUUUUUUAGUUUACGAACAGAAUUUUAAGAAAACUAAACAGUUAAAAACACAAACAUUCACUUCUGCGAGAGGCACAACCUCUCGGAAAGAGAGAGAAAAACGUGUUUUUUCUUCUUUUGUGAGAGGCAUUGAUUUACUUCACAUGGAGGGGCACAGUUGUGCCUCUCAGAAAUAGAAAAAUAGUGGGAAAAAGUCGUGCUUCCGGCUUUGUUUUUUUGGGAGGUUUUCAUGAAAAAAGUUUCUCAAAAUUUAUUAAUAUGGGAUCUAGUUUCAAAGAUCUCGACACGAGAAAUUCAACGGUGAAAACGAUUCACGCUUUGAAUGCGCGAUUUAAGAGGUAAAACAUUUGGAAUAAAUGAAUCUAUGAAAAAAAAAAGGAAAAACUCCAAGGUUGCGACACAUGCAAUAAGCCACCUGUCGAACCUAGGAAGAUGUGAGCGACCUUUCCAAGGGGUAACCCUGAUUUCAGCCUUUUUGUCCCACGCCCUGUUUGGCGCCUUAAAUGUCACUUAAAGGCCACUUGGUAACUAGCGUGCACCUCAUCUUCACCUUGGGCUCGGCCCAUCUAUUUGUUUUUCGUUUUUAAUAGCGUAAAAUUUGAACCAGCAUUGGUUUUGGGGGACCUUCCAACGAACGAUUAGAUGUUUUUUGAACGAUUUUCUUUGUUUUUUGUUCAGCACGAGUUUUGCUCCUUUUAUUUUUUAUCUUCUCUUUAUUUUUUUCAUCCUUUUACCCUUUUUAAAAUGUGUGAAUAUCAAUUUCAUGAACUUUUCCCAAAUCCUAUUUUUUUUACAAAUUUCCCAAGCUUAUUACAAAUUUCUAAAUUUGUGAAAUUUUCAAUUUUGUUUACUUUUCAAAACCCACAAACUUUUUUCAAAUAUGUGAGUUUUUUUUCAUAUCCGCGAUAUUUUCCAGUUUUUGCAAAAGAAACAUCCAUUAUUUUUUUACUAAUCCGCACACUUUUUUUUUCAAAUUUGCACUUUCUUUUUCAAAACCAUAAGGUUUUAAAAUUUUAUGAACUAUUUCAUAUAUGUGCACUUUUUUGAAAUUUAUAAAUUGUUUCCCGUAUUCAUGAACAUUUUCCAAAUUCAUAUUUUUGCCCAAUAUAUAAUAUAUAUGUAUAUGUUAAAAAAUUGAAAUUUUCAUAUACAAGUUUUUUUAAAAUAUGUAGUCUUUUUCAAAUCCAUGAUUAUUUGCCAAAAAAAUGCUAAUUUGUUUUCCAACGAAUUUUUCCAGGUCACUUUUAGCAAAAGUCAGCCAUCAACUGAUUCACCUAUCAACCCANNNNNNNNNNNNNNNNNNNNNNNNNNNNNNNNNNNNNNNNNNNNNNNNNNNNNNNNNNNNNNNNNNNNNNNNNNNNNNNNNNNNNNNNNNNNNNNNNNNNNNNNNNNNNNNNNNNNNNNNNNNNNNNNNNNNNNNNNNNNNNNNNNNNNNNNNNNNNNNNNNNNNNNNNNNNNNNNNNNNNNNNNNNNNNNNNNNNNNNNNNNNNNNNNNNNNNNNNNNNNNNNNNNNNNNNNNNNNNNNNNNNNNNNNNNNNNNNNNNNNNNNNNNNNNNNNNNNNNNNNNNNNNNNNNNNNNNNNNNNNNNNNNNNNNNNNNNNNNNNNNNNNNNNNNNNNNNNNNNNNNNNNNNNNNNNNNNNNNNNNNNNNNNNNNNNNNNNNNNCUAACUACCUCCUAAGGUGUUGGUUAGGAGCUCUUCAUUUUUUGGUAGGAUACGUCCCCACGCAAGCACCUAUGAUAGAGGCCCCUUUAGUGGGCCUCUAGCGGUUCAGCUCGAUCGCCUUUCUAUUGGGGAAAAUUGUUGGUAGAAAAACACAUCAUGAAAGUUCAUUAAUUUACCUAGAUAGUAUGAGAAAAAACAAAAAAAACAUACAUUUUGGCUUUCUUAAAACACAGGAAAAAAGUUUCCAUGCUUGUGUAAAAAGUCACAUAUAUGUUGAAAUGUCAACGUUUUGGCGUGUUUAAGAUUCAUGUAUUAAAAAAUCAUCUUAAAGUACAAACGAAAAGUUGCCAUGUUAAAUUGCCUACCCAAAUGCUAGAUAUGCCUUAGUAAAAACACAAAAUGGUUGUUAUGGUGUGUGUUAUGAUAAAAUUGCCAUGCCAUGUUCAAAUAAUUUUCAGUGGUAAUAAAACAUUACCAUAGUUUGCUCAAAUAAACAACAACAACAAUAACAACGACAACAACAACAAUAACAACAACAACAACAACAACAACAACAACAACAACAACAACAACAACAACAAAGCCUUUAGUCCCAAAUAAGUUGGGGUAAUCUAGAGAUAAAACCCAUCAGAUAUCGCAACCCAUCAUGAAAAUUAAGAAGAAAAAAAGGAAAUUUCCAUGGCCCGAAAAUAAAUCUAGGGCGAUGGUCUAGUAGGACCGUGGCCUUGAUGACUUCUCAUUCGCGACAAAAAAUGACAUGUUGGUUUUGGCGCAAAGGUCACGAGGUUUCACGACAAAAUUCGAUGUACUUUCUUUAAUUUUUAGGGUUGCUUGUACAACUAACUCCUAUUUGAUGCUUCAUGCGCCCUUUAAAGGCAAAUUAGUACAACGUGCACACACCCUCCCCGCAGUACAACCUUUAAGGGCCGGCCCAUAUAAGGCACUAGCGGGAAGCUCUUGUUCCCGGUUCUAUGAAGCUUUUGUCUGAUUUUUCUUAAUUCAUGUUUAUGUUUUUGGGCCUUUUCUUCUUUUCUUUUCCUUUUCCUUUUUAUCAAAUGUGUGAAACCUUUUUCAAGUAGAAAACCUUUUCAAAUCCGUGAACAUUUUACAAAAUCUGUAACAUGUUUCAAAUAUUUGAACUUUUUUUGAAUCCAUGAACGCUUUUUUAAUUGCAUGAAUGUUUUUCAAAUCCUCAUUUUACCCCAAAUCUUAUGUUUUUUUUAAAUCCACGAACUUUUUUCCAAGUCUACGAUUCUAUUCACGAAAUUGAUGAACUUUUUGAAAAUCCACAAAGUUUUUUUACAAAAUACAUGAAGUUCUUUCCAAUUCAUGAAUUUUCUUUCAUAUUCAUGAAGUUUUUCAAGUCCAGGUUUUGUGAUUUUUUUACAAAAGUCAAAUGCUCAACCAUCGACCGAAUGAACAAAGGACAAGCAACCCGAAGGAAGAGACAUGUACCGUGCAACCCUGUAUUGGGCCGGCCCAAGCAAGUGGAGCGCAGGGUGGCGCGUUGGCGCACAAGGCUGCUAGCGACAAAAUCACUAAUUGAGGAGUACUCCUUCCAAAGAUCAGUUGCACCUUCUUGGGUUGCGACAAGUGGCGUGCUGCAUGUGCGCAUUUGUCGCAACCUGUGAGUUUUCCCUUUUUCGUAGAUUCGUUUAUUCAAAAUGUUUUAUCUCUUAAACCAUGCAUCCAAAUGUUCAAUUUUCACCAUUGGUUCCUCGCGUUGUGAUCUUCAAAACUAGAUCUCAUGUUAGUUGGUUUUGACGAUUUUUUUUCACGAAAAAACCAGACGAAAAAAUCCACACCGGGAGCACAUUUUUUUCCCUUUUCGAAAGCCUGCCGCGCCUCUCACAGAAGCAAAACAGUGUCUCUUGCAGAAGGAAAAAUGCUUUUUUCAUUCGUAAGUGUCACGGUCGUGCCUCUCGUUGAAGGGAAGAACGCGUUUUUUAUGUUUCCAAGAGGCACGGUCGUGCCUCUCUUGAAGCAAAUAUGUGCCUCUUGCGGUAGCAAAAAAAACGAGUUAUCCUUUUCCGUUUCUGAGAGGCACGGUCAUGCCUUUCGCGGAAGCAAAAUCAUGCCUCUCACGAAAAUAAACCCGUGCCUCUUGCGAAAGAAAAAAAAUGUGUUUUUCUGCGCAUUUUUUUUGUUGAGAAGCUAAGGAAGACUGGUGGAAAACUGGAAAGGCAAAAAAACCAUCUAAAAGCCAAAAAUGCGUGCAGAAAAUAAAAAAUAAUCAAAAUACGGCGGGAACGCCCAGAGCGUGACACGUGGCAACGGCUCAGAGCAUGCUAGCCCACCCCAAAUGACCCUUGGGGAGGCUCCCGAACGAGUGCUCCUCAGUUAGCUGCUCCAUGCUAGCAAGGGCAGAUCCUGGUGCUUAAGGCGCCCUACAUUUUGCUAACGGGCGCCUGAGACCUCCAAGACUGGCCGGGCCAUUUAGCUAUUUUUAAAAUUUUUGUUUUAUUUAUUUUCGUGAACUUUUUCCAAAAUUGGUGAGGUUUAAUAAAGCGAUGGACUUUUUCAAUUUUGUGAACUUUUUACAGAAUUGAUGAUAUUUUUCAAAAUCGACAAACUUUUUUAAAAAUUGAUGGUUUUUCACAAAAAGUUCUACAAAACAGAUGAACUUUUUUUAAAAAAAUUAUGAAUUUUUCUUAUAUUCAUGAAAUGUUUUUUAAAAUCUGCGAACUUUUUAAAAUUCAUGAUUUUUUUCGAUUUUUUCCUGUUUUUCUUUCUCAAAUGAGAACGUGUACAUGGGCUGGCCCACCAGCGCAGGCGCGUGGGCGCCAAGGAGCUUCGCUGGCGCCUGAAGCGUUGAAUAGGAGCUCCCGCUAGAGAGGAGCUCUCGUUUGCACCGCUGUUGGUUAAUUGAUAUGGGCGUUUUUUCCUCUGACGACGAGGGCAAAGCCAUUUUAUCGUGUGGUCGGCUCCCAUUUUAACGUGCAAGUAACAUCGUGCCAGUAGUAAAAAUCGGGGGCAGGGGCAGCAUCAGAGGCAGAGCUCAGAUCUCAAUCCUCCUCCUGCCUCAUUGUUUGCCCUUUUUUUUUCUGAGGGCAGGGUUUAGUUCAUCGUACCGUACGCCAGGGGGUUCACAUACACGCAGUGCACCCGUGUUUCUCCUUCCACAACUGGCCCAAAUAGGCUUUUUUUUUAGUAACGACCCAAAUGAGAUGUGUCACAUGGUCACCCGCACGGUUCCUCGGAUAGGGAGAGAGGCCUGUGGAUCAUGGGAAGAAAUUCGAAACUAGCUGCUCAAAUCCGAGAGGCCCUUUUCUCAACAAAAAAAAAAGAUCCGAGAGGCCCCGACCACAAAACCGUAGAUCCAACAUUUCAGCCACGAGAAUCCCACUAGAGCUAUUUUAUCGCAUUAAGUGAUCGAAGUGGUGGCGCUCGCUGAAGCUUUCCCCUUGCUCGCAUUGUACUCGGCUGGCUCGUUAAGCGCGCGCAGUGCUAAAAAUAGAUAGAAGAAAAUGGGGUAAAUUGGAUUCGAUCCAGGGUCUAGUGCAACGCACAUAGCCAUUAGGCUACACUGAAGAUCAUGUUAUACUAGCUAGGCGCGCCACUUGAGGUAUAAAAAUAGCUUGGCCCGCCCUAUUAUCCUUUUCUUUCUCAAUUUUCUUCUACACUAUUCGGGUUUUCUCCCUUUUUUUCGUUCUUUUAUUUUUCUUCUUCAUUUGUUUUCAUUGCUUUUUGCAUUUGUUUCUUCGGGUUUAAUUGUUUUCUCGUUUUAUUUUGUUUCUUUCAUCAUUCUUCUGCGGUUUAGUUUAGUUUUAAUUUUUUAAAUUCUUUCUACAUUUUUUUCUUCCAUUUUUUCUUUUGUUUCAAUUUUUUCUUCUGUGUGUUUUCCGUUCUUUCUUCUUUCUUCUCAGAUUUGUUUCAUUCUUUUUUGUUUUCUUUUGUUUCAUUUUUUAUUCUCCGACUUUUUCAUUAUUUGCUUUGUUCUUCUUCAUUUCUUGUUUGGUUUUCUUUNNNNNNNNNNNNNNNNNNNNNNNNNNNNNNNNNNNNNNNNNNNNNNNNNNNNNNNNNNNNNNNNNNNNNNNNNNNNNNNNNNNNNNNNNNNNNNNNNNNNNNNNNNNNNNNNNNNNNNNNNNNNNNNNNNNNNNNNNNNNNNNNNNNNNNNNNNNNNNNNNNNNNNNNNNNNNNNNNNNNNNNNNNNNNNNNNNNNNNNNNNNNNNNNNNNNNNNNNNNNNNNNNNNNNNNNNNNNNNNNNNNNNNNNNNNNNNNNNNNNNNNNNNNNNNNNNNNUUUGGGUUUUUUUUUCUUCUCCAUUUUUUUCUUUUGUGUUUUCUUAUGUUUGUUUUCAUUUCAGUCUGCAGUUUUGUACAUGUCAAAAACAUUUUUUGUACACACCUUCAACGUUGUUCGAAUGCCUAUUCAACAUUUUUCAAAUACUUGUUCAACAUUUUAAUAGUUAUUCAAUAUAUUUAGAAUUCUUGUUCAACAUUUUCUAUACUUAUUCAACAUCAUAAAUACUUAUUCAGCAUUUUCAAAAACUUUUCCAAUAUUUUUCCUAUACCCGUUCAACAUUUUUUAAUACCUAUUUCAACAUUUUUGAAAUAUUUGUUCGACAUUUUUAAUGCUUAUUCAGUAUUUUUAAAAACUUGUUCAACAUUUUUCAAAUUCCUGUUCAACAUUUUUUUAAUACAUAUUCAAUAUUUUUCAAAUGCUUGUUCAACAUUUUUCAAUUACCCGUUCAACAUUUUUUAAUACUUAUUCAAAAUUUUCAAACACAUGUUCAACAUUUUACAAGUACUUGUAAAACAUUUUUGUAACACACACACACACACACACACACACAUAUAUAUAUAUAUAUAUAUAUAAAAUUUUUAAUGUAUAAAUAAAAGUACAAAUUUCUUGCAUGGAUGAAAAAAUAGUUCAUGGAGUGAAUAUUCUACAGCCAACAUGGUUCAUGUUACCUUGAUCUAUUAGUAGAGCACGUUCCAAGCAGUAGCUGAGAUGGAUAGAAGCAGCAGCUCAUAACGAAGCGACCAUUGUUUGAAUCGUGAAACAGGUUUUUUAGAUUUUCGGUUUUAUGCAUUUACGCUGUAUAUAUAAAACCUCGCGGGCCGGCCCAUCUGGGGCACCUGCCCGACGCGAGGCUUCCCAUGCGCUCGCGUAAGGCGACAAAUAGGGGCGCCCGUGAGAAUCCCAACCCCGCCGUACCGCCGGGCUGUCUCCCGCUGCCACUACAACGCCGAGACCAUUUCCCCGGACCCGCGAGCCUUUUCCCCGCAGACCAUAUCCCUCACAGGAUCUACUAUCUACCACAGCCCUAUAUAUAUUUGAAUCCAGAGAGAGGGAUAAACAAAUGGUGGCUUGCCAAAGCUGGAGCAUGGCGGUGAAUCUAGAGGGCCGUGGUCUCCACUUUUGAUGCCACAAUGCACAGCAAAGUAGGCGCACACUGCAUCUGGCUAAAUCCGGCAGUGCUGGCUUAGCUAACUACGUCGAUCAUGACGAUAAUAAUAACCAAUGCAGUGCACCCAGCUCCGGCUGCACUUGCACAUGCAGGUAGGGAAAAAAGGGCUUCUGCAUUAUACUCCAACUAAACACAAUCAUUAGGCCGUGGUCAGAAGGGACAGGCUUGCACCGGAAGCACCAGCACCACCAGGGAUGAGGAGUGCUGCUGCUGCUGCUACUCGACUUUGUCUAACUGUUGCUACUACUCUUUUCUGAACCUGACGGCCUUGUCGCGCCUAUCAGUUUCUUCAUUGCAGUAGGCAAACGGAUGAUAUGGGCAGGAGCAUGCAGCAGGCACAGUGGAGCAAGCAACAGUAACUGGUCAAUUACUUCAGAGAAUCUUGACCACUGAGAAUCAGAGUGGCUGCUGGUGUUCGUUCUUGGUUACUCAAUGAUGCCGGAUUUAAGCUAGGUAAAGCUAGCUAGCCUGUGUUGACCAGCAGCACGUCUUGGUCAGUUCCAGGUGAGUCCCAAACCUUCCGAUAAUGGACCAAACUGGUGUGCAGCAGCAGAGAUGCUUGCUUAAACCAGCGCCUAAUUGGACGCGAAAUGCCUCUAGAAGCACUGCAUGACCAUUAUUAUAUACUAGUACUAGUAUAAUCUAAUAGCGACGUGAAGCGCCGUUGAACUGAUCGAAUCUCAGUGGUCAAGAUCAAGAUGCUCUGUUCUAGCUAGCUUGUCCAAUACUACAUGAUAUUCCUUCUUCUGAUCUGAAUCUCUACGGCCUGUGCUAUGCGAAGUUGCUAACCACCCUGGAUGGGACUAUGGGAGUUGACGAGGGAGGACGCAGCGAAGCAUUGCACGUCCGCCACCAUUAUCUGCACAUUAUUCGGUGAACCUAUUAUUCCUAACCACGUGAAGCCAUGACGCGCCUUCUCAAAAUAGUACUGCUACUAUAGUUUGCUUCGGGCAGUAAUGCAGGCGAUGCUGUAGGGCGCAAAAGCUAGGGGAGACUCAUGUGUUGGGUCCAUGAAAAUAUCAAUUUACGAAUCAUUUCGCGUUUUUGCUGCUUAAAGUGAGCUGUCUGCAGUUGAUCGUGGGGUUCAACUUUUAGACCAGACGGAUAAAAUUAGCUGGAAGUUAACCACGAAUGGAUUAUUCUCGGUGAAAUUCAUGUAUUUAGACUUAAUUGAUUCCGCGUCAUUGUCGAGGUCUUUGUACAAAUGGAAGAUUAAAGUUCCACUCCGCAUCAAGAUCUUUAUGUGGUUCGUCCACAAAGGAGUCAUCUUAAUCAAAAACAAUAUGAUGAAAAGGAAUUGGGUUGGUAACCCCGUGUGUUGUUUUUGUGAUCAGAACGAAAUGAUUAGACAACUCUUUCUCUAGUGUCCACUUGCAUAAUUUGUUAUGGCGAUUAAUUCAUAUAGCUUUUAACGUUCAUCCUCCAAUGAGCAUAAACACGUUAUUUGGGACGUGGCUUAAUGGAGUAGACGUACAUAUAGCUAAACAUAUUCAGAUAGGGAUAUGUGCAUUAUUCUGGGCUAUAUGAAACACUAGAAAUGAUGUGAUUUUUAAUAAGGAACAAUUCACUACUUUUUUGCAGGUCAUCUACAGAGCUACAACUUGGAUCUGUAUGUGGUUGUUACUCACUCAUGCGACUAAAGAGAGCUUAUGGUUAUUGGGUGCAACCGCUGGGAGAGCACGGGCUAUCUUCAGUCGAUUUGGAUGGCGAGUCAAUAAUAGGCUAGAUGUGUAGGCAUCGUAGCAUGUUCUUUAUCGCCGAUGUAGCGUUUUCUUGCAGGAUGUGGCGCUUUAUAGAUUUAUUUUCUCUUUUUUGCUCGGAUUUUGAGCUUUCUUGGAUGUUAAGACUUUGUUACGCUUUCUAAUAAUAUGACUGCAUGCAUCGACUGAUGCAGAGGCCGGAGGUAAUCCUCCUUUUCUAAAAAAAACUACAUCCGGGCGCACCAAACCGCCCCCAAACGCCCAGACGGACGGCCCGGCCAUUGACCGGUCAUGAAAAACCCGACCCAAAUGGGGUCUUUAAACCGUCCUCAAAUGCCCGAACUGUCCGACACCCCUCAUAUCUAGCCCAAAUAUGGUGCAGAUAUGAGGCGGCCCGGACGCGUCUACCAUGUCGGUUUGACCUAGCCUGGCCCACGCGUGCCCCACAAAAUCCCCAUCCGGAAAACCCUAAACCGCAGUCAAUCUGAACUCCACUGCAGUCCCCUGCCUGUCCACUCCACUUCUGAUCCCCUCUGAACCCAUUUGAAGGCCGAAGACCGAAGCAGCGCUGCCUCCGGUGGGAAAUCCGGCUCCGACGACGACUGGGCGAGCCUCCUGCACGAAGCGGAGCCCGACGAUGUGGAGGAGGUCACCCUCUGCUUCGCAUUGAGGCGUUCGCAGCUCGACCAAGGCAGAUCCGGCAAUGGCGGGUCUACUUCAGCAGCCCCCACCGCUCAACGACGCAGUGUCGGUGACGUCGCCGGCCCUUCCCGCCCGGCGCGCAGCUCCGACCGCUCCGCUCCUUCAGGUACGCCGCGCACCUCCACCACCCUCUGCUUUAGAAGUGGUACCCGGUCGCCACUAGGUCCUCGUGCCUGUGUCGGGGCUGGCGCGCAUGAGAACGUCCGAUUCUGAGGCACAUGUAGUCCGGUACGAGCGGCACCGGGCAAGGGAGAGGGCGGCAGUGAGGGAGUCUUUGUCCACGCGCUGGUCACGCCUAAGCGCGCCGGUAGGUCCCGAGGCCGCGCUCCUCACGUCGGUCCUCUGAUGCUCUCUCACGGAGUUGGAGACGAAUCCGUGGCGCCUCCACUGCAAGAAUGCCAAGGUGCUCCGACUCGUCAUUGAGUUGUCGAAGUGCGAGGCAAACAAGGAGGCAGCGGCGAAGGCGAAGGUGGCCCGGCAUGCGAAGGAGCAGGACCGCCUGCUCUGUAGCCUAUCGGGCAAAAGGUACAGCUUCGACUCCUCCGACCUGAUGGACGGCUCCAGCUCUGACGAUGAUGCAUCUCAGUACACCGAUGCCUACAUGGACGAGGGGCACAGCCACGCCAACAGCUGGAAGGGGAAGGGGCCGGCGAGGAAAUGGUGAUUACCUCCGCCCUUGCCCGUCUUAUUUUCUUUUUAUCUAUGUUCUAAGUAUUUAUUGUAUGAAUUUGCACUAUCCGUCGAUGAACUAUGUGGUUUUGUUCGGCGAUGCAAUGACGAUCCAGCUAGUUGACCGUGUUUUACACUUUAUAUGUAUCGUUGCAUUGAUUGCAUGGUUUUGAGGUUUCGGAUAUAAGGGACGCGGGUGUGGAAGCCAACAUAUGAGGCGUACCCGGUCAAUGCCCGUGGAUGCGUCUGGGUGCGUCCGCGGGCAUUUGAGGGGCCGGAUUUGCCAAGUUCGACUGUAGAUGCUCUUAUCCUGUGAUCGGGCGUACGAGUGGUGGUUCUCAUCAAAGCAUGUCUUGCCAGCAUUCAUGUCUAUCCUUUAUCUGUUACCAAGUUCCCUUCUUGGGUCAUUAGAGCCAUCGACUCUCAAAUGGCGCAUUGUCGUUAGGAUGAUUUUGAUGGUCAUGGAAAAUACCAUUUAAUUGUAAGGUCAAAAACAUUUAUCUAAUUGGGGAUCGAUGAGUAUGAAAAGAGAGUUUUGGAAUUUGGUUAUCCCCAAAAUGAGAUAUAUUAACAUUGCUCUUUGAGUUCGUAGAUUGCAAGAUAAAACUUAGACGGAGAAAAAUAUUGGAAGCUAACAUUGACUAUAAAUACAAACACAAGAGCCAAACAUCUUUUGCUGAUGGUAAAUUGAUGAGAUUCUAUGAGUAUUAGCGGUUUGAUGGUUCCAAUUUGGUAAUUCGGUUUUUUGAAAUAUUUUUUACGUGUAACGAACCUAAUAUUUCUAUUCAAGAGGCUUGUGUUGGGAAUCAAACUAAACAAAACUUUAGGAGAGGUUUUAACAAAGAUAUGAUGCAAAAGUGGAAUCAACUAGUGCAAAUAGUAUCAUGUUUACAUUGAAAUUUUGUACCUGGUCAAAUGGUGUGGAAAUUAAAUAGCUCUAGGAUAUAUGAGGCCCAAUCCCUCUAGGUCGUUAUAUACUUCACAGGGGUUAUACGUCUCAAACGUAUCUAGAUUUUUUUAUUGUUUCAUGCUAUUAUAUUACCACUUUUCAAUAUUUUAUAGCAUUUUAUAUUAUUUUCUAUACUAAAGUAUUAUUCUAGUGCCCAAUGCCAUUUGUUGUUUUCUGCAUGUAUUUGACUUUAUAGAAAAUCCAUAUCUACAGAAGUCAAAAAAAACCUGGCGAUUUAAUAUGAUAUUUUUGGAGCACUAUGGUUCCGAGAAAAAUUGGAGGGAAGUGAGAGGCCGUGUGGGCCCCAUAGAUACCACCUUUUGUCCAUUCCACCGCCAUAAAUUCCUAUAAAUGUAGAAAGCCUCUGAGAUAUUUUUAUCCGAUUUUUUCGCCAUCGCAAGUUUCUGUUCCGAGGAGACCAAUCUGGAGGCCUGUUUCGGUGCUCUGCUAGAGGGAGAAUCCAUCCCGGAGGCUUCUUCAUCAACAUUGCUGCCUACAUAACCAUGUGUGAGUAGUUCCCUUAGGACCUUAGGGUCCAUAAUAGUAGCUAGAUGGCUCUCGAUCUUCAAUACCAUGUUCCCGUGAGCUACCUCACAUGAUCGGGACCAAUUUGAUGUAAUCUAUGGUGUGUUUGUUGGAUAUGAUGAAUUUUCACUUUAUGACCAGAUUGUUCAUUGAACUCAAUUGAAUCUUUUGAUGUUUGCUCAUUGUAUAAUUAAAUAGUUUUGUAUGCUUUCCGAUGUAUUUGUCUACCCUGGCCAAGUUUGAUGGGUAUUUCUUCAGAGGGAGUUGUGCAUUGUAGUGGGUUCUAAUCUUGUAGUGAUCUAUAUUCAAGUGACAAAAGGGACAAGGCACGUAUGUAUUGUUGCCACUAACGAUAAAAUGAUGGUGUCUCACAUAUUGCUUGAUGUUUUCCUGUCUACAUUGUGUCAUCAUGCUUAUUGCAAUGCUCUAUUUCUUCUAAACAUAAUACUUUGAUAUGCAUGUUGGAUAGAGGUCUUAGGGUGGAGUAUUAUUAGUAGAUGCAUUUCGAUUAAUGGUCUACUUGAAGAGAGGAUAGAAACAGGAGACCUUUGCUCUACCUCCUUUUUUCUCUUCUAGGGGCCCCGGAGGGGUUCUUUGGCAUGCUCUAUUGAAGAAGCUAAGUGACUUUUGUCACUCAAGUAGUGAGUUUGAGAGUGACCGUUAGGGCGACCACUUGUACUUAUAGGCCUUGGCGACCUAUAUGUUACGCAACACAACUUAUCACAGACAUAAUGCCUAUAUGGGAUUAUACCAUGAAUUAUUAUAGUCAUAAAUAUAAAAAUUGCAAUUUAAUCGAUUCCCAACUGUAAUUUGUACACCACAUCACCUACCUAUUUAAGAGACAUUCCACUAGUGAACCUAUGGCCCCUGUGUCUAUUCUCCUCUACUGAAAGCAAAUAUAUUUUGUUGCCCUAUUGCUUGUACUUUUACUUUGCUACCUACUAUCUCUAUCACUUCUAGUUUAAUCUUCUAACUAGCCAGACAAGGGGAUUGACAACCUCUUGCCAUGUUGGGGACAAGCCUUGUUUUGUGUUUUGUGUGUCGGCCUGUUCACUUUGUUUGCGAGGAGGCUCCUACUAGUUCGAUAAACAUUGGUUCUCUAACCGAGGAAAAUACUUAUUAAUAGGUUACUUCACCCUAACCUUGGGGGUUACCCAACCACUCUUACGAGAGAGCAAGUGGGGGGGUUAUCCUUGUGUUUGUUUUGGUAGCUUGCAAACUUCUAAUCACUCCUAGAGUCCAGAUGUCUCUUUGGUUAGGAUCACACAAUAAGCUUCAUGGUAGGGGUAAGUCUUUGUAGAUGACAGGAGAAAAAUGAUAAGAGUUGCUUGUUGUAUAAUGAACUAGAGUCUUGCCAUCAUUAGUUGUUUGAGUGUGACAUCUUUAAACUGUUAUAGGACGAGGGAGCAAAUAUGCUAUUGAGACCUAUCUGUAGGAAUUAUGAAGUUGUUUCUUCAUUGUGGUUGUCUAACAAAAAUAAUGCAAUUCUGAAUAUGAUUGACAUAGCUUUAAUGUGGUCUACUUGGAAAUUAGGACAUGUUCUUUGGCCAUGUUACAUGUGAAGGAAAUAUGCCCUAGAGGCAAUAAUAAGUUGUUAUUUUAUAUUUCCUUAUUCAUGAUAAAUGUUUAUUAUUCAUGCUAGAAUUGCAUUGACCGGAAACCUCAAUACAUGUGUGAAUACAUAGACUAAACACUGAGUCCCUAGUGAGCCUCUACUUGACUAGCUCGUUGAUCAAAGAUGGUUAAGGUUUCCUAACCAUGGACAUGAAUUGUCAUUUGAUAAUGGGAUCACAUCAUUAGGAGAAUGAUGUGAUGGACAGGACCCAUCCGUUAGCUUAGUGUUGAUCGUUCAGUUACAUUGCUAUUGCUUUCAUGUAUGUUAAAUACAUAUUCCUUUGACUAUGAGAUCAUGCAACUCCCGGAUACCGGAGGAAUGCCUUGUGUGCUAUCAAAAGUCACAACCAUAUCUGGGUGAUUAUAAAGAUGCUCUACAGGUAUAUCCGAAGGUGUCUUGUUGGGUUGGCGUGAAUCGAGAUUAGGAUUGUCACUCCAAGUAUCGGAGAGGUAUCUCUGGGCCCUCUCGGUAAUGCACAUCAUAGUAAGACUUGCAAGCAAUGUGACUAAUGAGUUAGUUGCGGGAUGAUGUAUUAUGGAACGAGUAAAGAGACCUGCCGGUAAUGAGAUUGAACUAGGUAUGAAGAUACCAACGAUCGAAUCUCGGGCAAGUAAAAUACUGAUAAACAAAGGGAAUUAUGUAUGUUGUCAUAAUGUUCGACCGAUAAAGAUCUUCGUAGAAUAUGUAGGAGACAAUAUGGGCAUCCAGGUUCCGCUAUUGGUUAUUGACCAGAGAGGUGUCUUGGUCAUGUAUACAUAGUUCUCGAACCCGUAGGGUCCACACGCUUACAUUCGUUGACGAUAUAGUACUAUAUGAGUUAUGUAUGUUGGUGAACGAAUGUUGUUCGGAGUCCCGAAUGAGAUCACAGACAUGACAAGGAGCUCCGAAAUGGUCCGGAGGUAAAGAUUGAUGUAUAGGAUGAUAUGGUUCGGCCAAGGGGUGAAGCCCACGAGGCUUUAGGUCGGUGCAAAAGGUGUUUUGCGGAGGCAAGGGGGCCAAACGCUGGAGACCCUGGCGUCUGGCCCUGGACCAGAUGCCGAGGCCCAUGGCGUCUGGGCCAGACGCAAAGGACCAUGGCGUCUGGUCCUGGAAGUCCGAGAAGGACUCUUCCUUGCAGGAAAAACCGACUUUGAGGAGGCUUUUGCUCCAAGUUUUGACCCCAGGGCUCAACAUAUAAAUAGAGGGGCAGGGCUAGCACUUGGAACACAUCAAGUAUCACCAAGCCGUGUGCCGGCAACCUCGUCCCCUCUAGUUUAUCCUCCGUCAUAGUUUCCAUAGUGCUUGGCGAAGCCCUACGGAGAUUGUUCUUCACCAACACCAUCACCAUGCCGUCGUGCUGCCGGAACUCAUCUACUACUUCGCCCGUCUUGCUGGAUCAAGAAGGCGAGGACGUCAUCGAGCUGAACGUGUGCUGAACGCGGAGAUGCCGUAUGUUUGGUACUUGAUCGGGACGGAUCGUGAAGGUGUACGACUACAUCAACCGCGUUGAUAAACGCUUCCGCUUUGCGAUCUUCAAGGGUAUGAAGAUGCUCUCCCCCUCUCGCUGCUAUGCAUCUGCUAGAUAGAUCUUGCGUGAUCGUAGGAUUUUUUUUGAAUUACUACAUUCCCCAACAGUGGCAUCCGAGAUAGGUCUAUGCGUAGACGAUAUGCACGAGUAGAACACAAAGAGUUGUGGGCGGUGAUCGUCAUAUUGCUUACCACCAGCGUCUUAUUUUGAUUCAGCGGUAUUGUUGGAUGAAGCGGCCCGGACCAACCUUACAUGACCACGUUCAUGAGACUGGUUCGACCGACAGACAUGCAACUAGUUUUGCACAAAGGUGGCUGGCGGGUGUCUAUUUCUCCAACUUUAGUUUAAUCGAAUUUGACUGCGCCCGGUCCUUGAUGAAGGUCAAAACAGCAAACUUGAUAAAUCACCGUUGUGGUUUUGAUGUGUAGGUAAGAAAGGUUCUUGCUAGAAGACCGUAGCAGCCACGUAAAUUUUGCAACAACAAAGUAGAGGACGUCUAUCUUGUUUUUGCAGGGCAUGUUGUGAUGUGAUAUGGUCAAGACAUGAUGUGAUAUACGUUAUUGUAUGAGAUGAUCAUGUUUUGUAGAAGUUAUUGGCAACUGGCAGGAGCCUUAUGGUUGUCGCUUUAUUGUAUGAAAUGCAAAUGCCAUGUAAUUGCUUUACUUUAUCACUAUGUGUUAGCGAUAGUUGUAGAAGCAAUAGCUGGCGAGACGACCACAACGCUACGAUGGAGAUCAAGGUGUCAAGCUGGUGACGAUGGAGAUCAUGAUGGUGCUUUGGAGAUGGAGAUCAAAGGCACACGAUGAUGAUGGCCAUAUCAUGUCACAUAUUUUGGUUGCAUGUGAUGUUUAUCUUUUAUGCAUCUUAUUUUGCUUAGUACGGCGGUAGCAUUAUAAGAUGAUCCCUUACCAAAAUUUCAAGGUAUAAGUGUUCUCCCUGAGUAUGCACCGUUGCGACAGUUCGUUGUGCUGGGACACCAUGUGAUGAUCGGGUGUGAUAAGCUCUACGUUCACAUACAACGGGUGCAAGACAGUUUUGCACAUGCGAAAUACUCGGGUUAAACUUGACGAGCCUAGCAUGUACAGACAUGGCCUCGGAACACUGAAGACCAAAAGGUCGAACGUGAAUCAUAUAGUAGAUAUGAUCAACAUAGAGAUGUUCACCAUUGAAAACUACUCUAUCUCACGUGAUGACCGGACAUGGUUUAGUUGAUAUGGAUCACGUGAUCAUUUAGAUGACUAGAGGGAUGUCUAUUUAAGUGGGAGUUCUUAAGUAAUAUGAUUAAUUGAACUUUAAUUUAUCAUGAAUUUAGUCCUGAUAGUGUUGGCAAACUAUGUUGUAGAUCAAUAGCUCACGUUAUAGCUCCCCGUUUAUUUUUGAUAUGUUCCUAGAGAAAAUAAGUUGAAAGAUGAUAGUAGCAAUUAUGCGGACUGGAUUCGUGAUCUGAGGAUUAUCCUCAUUGUUGCACAGAAGAAUUAUGUCUUUGAUGCACCACUAGGUGACGGACCUAUUGCAGGAGCAGAUGCAGACGUUAUGAACGUUUGGCAAGCUCGGUAUGAUGACUACUUGAUAGUUUAGUGCAGAAUGCUUUACGGCUUAGAACCGGGACUUCAAAAACGUUUUGAAUGCCACGGAGCAUAUAGGAUGUUCCAAGAGCUUUGGUAUUUCAGACUCAUGCCCGAGUCGAGAGGUAUGAGACCUCUGACAAAGUAUUUUGCCUACAAGAUGGAGGAGAAUAGCUCACCCAAUACUACAAUCGCUUGAAUGUCUAAGUACUACAAUCACAUGAAUGUCUGAGCCGCUUCAUCCAACAAUACCGCUGAAUCAAGAAUCGACUAGUGAUGACAAGAAAUAUGUAUAUACUCACGCCCACAACUCCUUUGUGUUUUACUCGUGCAUAUAAUAUCUACGCAUAAACCUGGCUCGGAUGCCACUGUUGGGGAACGUAGUAUUUCAAAAAAUCCCUAUGAUCACGCAAGAUCUAUCUAGGAGAUGCAUAGCAACGAGAGGGGAGAGUGUGUCCACAUACCCUCGUAGACCGAAAGCGGAAGUGUUAAGUAACGCGGUUGAUGUAGUCGAACGUCUUCAUGAUCCAACCGAUCAAGUACCGAACGCACGGCACCUUCGCGAUCUGCACAUGUUCAGCUUGGUUACGUCCCUCGUACUCUUGAUCCAGUUGAGGCCGAGGGAGAGUUUCGUCAGCACGCCGGCGUGAUGACAGUGAUGAUGAAGUUACCGACGCAUGGCUUCGCCUAAGCACUACAACGAUAUGAACGAGGUGGAAAUCUGUGGAGGGGGGCACUGCACACGGCUAAGACAACUGUCAACUUGUGUGUCUAUGGGGUGCCCCCCUACCCCGUAUAUAAAGGAGUGGAGAAGGGGAGGGCCGAACCUCUCUAUGGCGUGCCCCAAGGGGGAUUCCUACUCCUAGUAGGAGUAGGUUUCCCCCCUUCCCUAGUUGGAGUAGGAGAAGAAGGACAAAGGAGAAGGAGAGAAGGAAAGGGGGUCCGGCCCCCUCCCCAAUUCAGAUUGGGCUUAGGGGGCGCGCCCCCACUUGGAUGCCUCCUUCUCUCUCCCACCAUGGCCCAUUAAGGCCCAUUGACUCCCCGGGGGGUUCCGGUACCCCCCAGGUACUCCGGUAAUUGCCCAAACUUAUGCGAAACCAUUCCAGUGUCCAAACAUAGCCUUCUAGUAUAUCAAUCUUUAUGUCUAGACCAUUUAGAGACUCAUCGUCAUGUCUGGAUCACAUCUGGGACUCCUAACUACCUUCGGUACAUCAAAACACAUAAACUCAUAAUAUCGAUCGUCAUCAAACAUUAAGCGUGCAGACCCUACGGGUUCGAGAACUAUGUAGACAUGACCGAGAAUCACUUCCGGUCAAUAACCAAUAGCGGAACCUGGAUGCUCAUAUUGGUUCCUACAUAUUCUACGAAGAUCUUUAUCGGAAAAACCGCAUAACAACAUACGUUGUUCCCUUUGUCAUCGAUAUGUUACUUGCCCGAGAUUUGAUUGUCGGUAUCUCAAUGAUACGUCUCUAACGUAUCUAUAAUUUUUGAUUGUUCCAUGAUAUUAUAUUAUCUGUUUUGGAUAUUUAAUGGGCUUUAUUAUACACUUCUAUAUUAUUUUUGGGACUAACCUACUAACCAAAGGCCCAGUGCAAAUUGCUAUUUUUUUGCCUAUUUCAGUGUUUCGCAGAAAAGGAAUAUCAAACGGAAUCCAAACGGAAUGAAACCUUCGGGAGAGUGAUUUCUGGAACAAACACAAUCCAGGAGACUUGGAGUGGACGUCAUGGAAGCAUCGAGGAGGCCACGAGGUAAGGAGGCGCGCCCAGGGGGGGGAGCGCGCCCCCACCCUCGUGGCUCCCCUGACCGACUUCUUUCGCCUAUAUAUACCCAUAUACCCCGAAAACAUCCGAGAGCACCACAAAACCCUAUUUCCACUGCCGCAACCUUCUGUACCCACGAGAUCCCAUCUUGGGGCCUUUUUCCGGAGCUCCGCCGGAGGGGAAAUCGAUCACGGAGGGCUUCUACAUCAACACCAUAGCCUCUCCGAUGAUGUGUGAGUAGUUUACCAUAGACCUUUGGGUCCAUAGUUAUUAGCUAGAUGGCUUCUUCUCUCUCUCUCUUUGGAUCUCAAUACAAAGUUCUCCUUGAUCUUCUUGGAGAUCUAUUCGCUGUAGUUCUUUUUGCGGUGUGUUUGUCGGGAUCCGAUGAAUUGUGGGUUUAUGAUCAAGAUUAUCUAUGAACAAUAUUUGGUUCUUCUCUGAAUUCUUUUAUGUAUGAUUUGUUAUAUUUGCAAGUCUCUUCGAAUUAUCAGUUUGGUUUGGCCUACUAGAUUGAUCUUUCUUGCAAUGGGAGAAGUGCUUAGCUUUGGGUUCAAUCUUGCGGUGUCCUUUCCCAGUGACAGCAGGGGCAGCAAGGCACGUAUUGUAUUGUUGCCAUCAAGGAUAAAAAGAUGGGGUUUAUAUCAUAUUGCUUGAGUUUAUCCCUCUACAUCAUGUCAUCUUGCCUAAUGCGUUACUCUGUUCUUAUGAACUUAAUACUCUAGAUGCAUGCUGGAUAGUGGUCGAUGUGUGGAGUAAUAGUAGUAGAUGCGGAAUCCUUUCGGUCUACUUGUCACGGACGUGAUGCCUAUAUACAUGAUCAUGCCUAGAUAUUCUCAUAAUUAUGCACUUUUCUAUCAAUUGCUCGACAGUAAUUUGUUCACCCAUCGUAAUACUUAUGCUAUUUUGAGAGAAGCCACUAGUGAAACCUAUGGCCCCCGGGUCUAUUUUCGAUCAUAUAAGUUUCCAAUCUAUUUUACUUUGCAAUCUUUACUUUCAAUCUAUAUCAUAAAAAUACCAAAAAUGUUUAUCUUAUUAUCUCUAUCUGAUCUCACUUUUGCAAGUGACUAUGAAGGGAUUGACAACCCCUUUAUCGCGUUGGUUGCAAGGUUCUUAUUUGUUUGUGUAGGUGCGAGGUGACUUGCGUGUAGUCUCCUACUGGAUUGAUACCUUGGUUCUCAAAAAUUGAGGGAAAUACUUACGCUACUUUGCCGCAUCACCCUUUCCUCUUCAAGGGAAAACCAACACAAUGCUUAAGAGGUAGCAAGAAGGAUUUCUGGCGCCGUUGCCGGGGAGAUCUAUGCCAAGUCAAGUCAAGUCAAGACAUACCAAGUACCCAUCACAAACUCUUAUCCCUCGCAUUACAUUAUUUACCAUUUGCCUCUCGUUUUCCUCUCCCCCACUUCACCCUUGCCGUUUUAUUUGCCCUCUUUUCCAUUCACACUCUUUUUCUGUUUGCCUCUUUUUCGCUCGCUUCUUGUGUGCUUGUGUGUUGGAUUGUUUGUCACAAUAGCUCAAGACAAUACUAAAUUGUGUGAUUUUUCCAAUACCAACAAUAAUUAUUUUAUUAGCACUCCGAUUGCUCCCCUUACCGAUGCUGAAUCUUGUGAAAUUAAUACUGCCUUGCUGAAUCUUGUCAUGAAAGAUCAAUUUGCUGGCCUUCCUAGUGAAGAUGCCGCUACCCAUUGAUACGUCUCCAACGUAUCUAUAAUUUUUGAUUGCUCCAUGCUAUAUUAUCUACUGUUUUGACAUUAUUGGGCUUUAUUAUCCACUUUUAUAGUAUUUUUGGGACUAACCUAUUAACCAGAGGCCCAGCCCAGAAUUGUUGUUUUUGUGUGCCUAUUUUAGGCUUUCAAAGAAAAGGAAUAUCAAACGGAGUCCAAAGGGAAUGAAACCUUCGGAAACGUGAUUUUCUAAUCAGAUAAGAUCCAGGAGACUUGGACCCUCCGUCAAGAAAGCCACAAGGCGGUCACGAGGGUGCAGGGCGCGCCCCCAUGCCUCGUAGGCCCCUCGAAGCUCCACCGACGUACUUCUUCCUCCUAUAUAUAUAUCCACGUACCCCCAAACGAUCGGGGACAGAGCCAAAAACUUAAUUCCACCGCUGCAACUUUUUGUAUCCACGAGAUCCCAUCUUGGGGCCUGUUCCGGAGCUCCGCCGGAGGGGGCAUCGAUCACGGAGGGCUUCUACAUCAUCAUCCAAGCCCCUCCGAUGAAGUGUGAGUAGUUUACUUCAGACCUACGGGUCCAUAGUUAGUAGCUAGAUGGCUUCUUCUCUCUUUUUGGAUCUCAAUACAAUGUUCUCCCCCUCUCUUGUGGAUAUCUAUUCGAUGUAAUCUUCUUUUUGUGGUGUGUUUGUUGAGACCGAUGAAUUGUGGGUUUAUGAUCAAGUCUAUCUAUGAAUAAUAUUUGAAUCUUCUCUGAAUUAUUUUAUGUAUGAUUGGUUAUCUUUGCAAGUCUCUUCGAAUUAUCAGUUUGGUUUGGCCUACUAGAUUGGUUUUUCUUGCCAUGGGAGAAGUGCUUAGCUUUGGGUUCGAUCUUGCGGUGUCCUUUCCUAGUGACAGAAGGGGCAGCAAGGCACGUAUUGUAGCGUUGCCAUCGAGGAUAACAAGAUGGUUUUUUUUAUCAUAUUGCAUGAAACUAUCCCUCUACAUCAUGUCAUCUUGCUUAAGGCGUUACUAUAACAUCCCAAAUUUUCAAUUUGGAAUGUUAUACAUUAGAUCAUCAUGCAUAUCAUAUUUUAUUUUGCAUUUUGGUUGAUCCUAGAAGUUCUACGCAACUCAAUGACCCACGGAGAGAGUUGGGGAUUUCGUUAUUUUCAUAUUUGAGUUUGUCAAAUUUUGAGAAUAGGAUCAUUUGAUUUUAUUUAUUUUAUCAUCAAUUAUUUCUAUUACAAAAAUAUGAGAGAGGGAAUAAAAUGACUUUCCAAAAAUAAAGAAAUAUUGAGGAUUUAAUAAUAAAAUCAAACAAGAUUUUAUUUUGAAGUUUUUCGGUGU